UUAAAAACCCUAACAUCUAAGGUCUAUUUCAACUUCCACAUGAUAUUCUUCAGCUUUAUGUAUGACGUGGUCAAAAAAGAAUCCCGCCAAUUCCUCUUGAAUAGCUCGUAUGCGAUCAUGGUAGGAGUUCAUCCCGCAUCUGCUACAUCUAUUUAAAGAAGUGGGUCAAUACAUAUAUAUGAAUGAAACUCAACACAAGUGAUGGUAAUAAAAUAAAAUUGUGAAUUCUUUUGUUUACGUACCUCAUAUUGUUUUCCAGAGUAGCCCCGCUUAGAGGCCGUCAAGUUACAGAUGAACUCGCAAACGUAGUAUCCACAAAAAUCAUUCCCGGCUUCCUGCCACAAAGCACUUUAUGAGAAAUAGAGUUCAAUCAAACUGGUAAUCAAGCAUGCUAAAUGGUAUUGAUGAAACUAGCUACAAUCAAUGGGAGAUGCGCGGAACUAGCUAGUAGUACUUACUUUCGGGUGUUUAAAUUACAGCUCUGUCGGCAUUCCCGGUGUCAUUACGGUGAACUCUUUCCAAACCCUUCCAGACAAAGAAAAUAAUUACUUGAUAUCCAGGAAAUGAACAAAGUUGUCGAUAUGGUGCGAUAAUGAUCGAUUGAACUUACUUCUGGAGCAUAUCAGUCAUGUCCACAUACUCUUGGGGAUAUUUUCUUCUCAAGUCUAAGGCAGUUACUAUUCCAGCUCCAAGCUUAAUUAAUCUCUAGCAAAAUAAAGUGGAAUCUGCGCACGCAUAACUCAUCAAUUACAUUACUAUAAUUAACCUCGAGUAAGGGAAACCGAAUAUACACAAGACAGUAACACUCACUUAAAGUUGUAAGGAAAGAGUAUUUUAUCUUUGUUUUGAUUUUUAAGCAACGAUUGUAGCAAGUUGUCCUCGGUUUCAGAGACAUUGUGUUUGACCGUCCAUUCAUGUAAGACAUUUGGGUUAAUGAACCCAAUGUCAUAGAUAUCUGUUUUUCUGCAUUCGACGAUCUUCAACCUGCAUAAUAUAGUAAGGAUAAUUAUAUAUACAUGAAAAUGAAAGAGCUGAGCUAUAUAUAGAGACUUAAUUAUUACAGAAGUAGUACUUACAGACAGUAGCAAGUCACGCGUGUUUUGUCGAGGGCCUUUUGAUUGUAUAACUGGAAUAACUUGUCAAGUUAAAUAUUCAAAAUAUCCGGUCCAACGAGGUCUUACUCCUCUUUAAUUCUCAUAGUCAAAGUAUGCUUCCCAGACUGGCGGCAUCUUUCCAUGUACCAUUCAUGGAGUGUUCGCAUCAUUGUUGUUAGAGGAGGAUGAUGAUCAGGUUCGACGAGAGGCUGCCCGUACUGGAAUCUGAAUUCGUCCACCUCCCUUGUUUCAAACUCUAUAUCAUUGAUCAGGUAAUCGGCAGGAUUGGUACCGGGCACCAUCCCCGGAUGAUUAGCGACGAUAUCGCUAGACACCUUGAGUGGGGGCAUGUUUGCUUCGCCUGUUCGUCGAGCUGGAGAAUUUUUUUCCCACUUCUUCGUUCUGCUAACCUUGCAUCACUGCAAGUACUUCCCAACCGCUCUGCUUCCUUAUAUGCCUUUUUAAUAGUGCGCACAUAGUUGGAAUCUGGCGGAGGCGGUGGUGGUCCCUUCAGGGCAUCGAUAGUCUGCUUCACUUUCACUAGAUCUAUCUUUUCCUUCGGAGGUGGAGGUUUCCGUGCAAAAACGUCCCUCACUUGGGCACGACUGAUGUCCUCAUUUUCCUUGUCGGUCCUCUCAUCACAUUAAAACUAAAGUACAUACAUAGUUCUCAUUAAACAACAUAUAGCUCUCCAGAGCCUCUAAUUAAAGCAUACAUUGAAACCAUGUAAAACAUUUAAAUGCAACAACAAAUGCGAUCAUAAUCGCAACUAAGAUAACAAUUGAUCCAAUGGCAUAAUGAUAUCAAGCCUCAGUAUGAAAUGUAAUCUUUCUAAUCUUCAAGCGCAUUGCAUCCAUCUUGAUUUUGUGAUCAACAACGACAUCCGCAACAUGCAACUCCAAUAUCAUCUUCUCCUCCUUAUUUUUUUUUCAAUUUUUCCUUCAAGUAAUUGUUUUUUUCUUCAACUAAAUUUAACCUCUCGACAAUAGGUUUGGUUGGAAUUUCCGGUUCACAUACCUCCUAGAUAAAACAAUCUAUGUCACGUUGGUCGGCAUAAUUGUCAUAAACACUAAAUGAACAAAAAUAGUUAUAAAAGAUAAUAUAUAUACCACAUCCGAAUCAUAGAUAGGACGAGGGCCGACGGAGGCGGAUACCAAAAACCAUCGCAUUAUAUAAUAAUAAACAAUAAUAAAAGUAAGAAAAUUACACAAGUAUCUAUCUAAAUCAUACAAGUAAGAACUUUUUUUUCGAUCAAGAGGCUCACCACGGUGGUGCUGGCGAGGAGAUCGGCGCGGGCGAUCGACGGCGGUGAGGAUAGGGACGGGACAGGACGGACCGCCAAACCUAGACAAAUUUAGAGGGAAAUGGACUUUGGACAAGGAACUUCGAGAGGAGAAAACUUAAGUGUGGCGCGGGCAUUUCAUCGAACACCUCGUGUGCAUAGGAGGUGAGCUAGAGCACCACAAAGCUCUCUCCAACGGCCGGCCAAAAAAACAGAGCACUCCACUGCUCUGCUCGUGGGUAAGAGGGUAUAUAUAGGUAUCUCAUUGGUCCCGGUUCAUGGCUGGAACCGGGACUAAAGGAGCACAUUUGGUCCCGAUUCCAGCCACGAACCGAGACUAAAGGUUGUGGCCAGGUGCGAGGCCCAUUGGUCCCGGUUCGUGUCUGAAACCGGGACCAGAGGGGCCAGAUGAACCGGGACCAAUGCCCCACGAGGCCCGGCCGCCCCCCUGGCCUCAUGAACCGGGACCUUUGCCCCCAUGUGUCCUGGUUUGUGACUGAACCAGAAUUAAUGAGCUUAUGUGGCCUGGACCGAAGCCCUGUUUUCUACUAGUGUAUGAUCGAAUAUGCUACUAAUAUUGUUCAAGAUAAAGCUCUAAUUGUUAUUGAUCAUGAAACUACUCAUGAGCUGACUAGGGGAGCAAGCAUGGAGUUGACACGGUGGACUAGUAUGAAGCAAGGUGAUGCAUGCGUUCUUCCAUGGAAGGUCUUUUCUUGGUAACUACAAAUACAAGGCAAGGCGGCGUAUAUUAUAUUUGUCCCUGCCAUGCAAGAAGGCUUACAAGUAGAUACGGGCAGAAUAUUUAAUGCUUGGAGUUUUUCUUUUUUGCUAAAGGAAGUAGGAUGGGGCCCUUAAAAAAAGAUGGCAUACAAGGUUAAGCUAGCUAGAAAAUGCAAUCUAAGAUGUAAAAGGAUUGAACUCUUACCUUUUAUAUAGUACUAGUUGUUUUCUUUUCAAAGUUGUGUGCGUGCGUGAGGGGUUUAGCCUAGGUUCAAGUAGUCAUUCAAAGCAAUAGUGUGUGGAUGUAACAGUUAGGUUCUUUUUUUUAAAUACUAACAAAAAUGCCGGUGCGUUGCAACGGAAAAAAAAUAACACACGUUCUUAACCUAAUAACCAUGCCUCAAGACCUUAAUAGGCCCGCGUAUGUCAUCACAUUUGUGUUGCCAACGGUGACCUCAGUGCUCACACAACGAAAACGCGUUUCAAUGUGGUCAGUCCUAAGAUCUCUCUCUCGCGCGCGCAUGCACGCACACUCGCUCGGAAUAAGAUGGAAAAUAUGUUGUUUUUUCCCGCAAGGUUUUUCAUAGGUGAGCAUGCAUGGUUCCCGAUGUUUUUUUCUCUCACUCUAGUUUUAAUAGAUCUUUAUUUGCAAUUCGAAUCACCGAUGGUAUGAAAGAAAAACAGACCGUGUACUAUAGAUUAAGUUUGCAGGAAAAAUAAUAUUUUAGAAAUAUUUGAUAGCUAAAAAUAACAUCAUAUUUAUAUUCUACAUAUUUUUCUAAUCAAAUUUCCUAUAUAACAUGUUAAAAUCGAAGUUACGGUUUAAAAGAUAUGGAUAAUCUUGUUUUACAUAAAGUGUGGAUUGAUUAACCGAAACAUCAAGGGGUUUCCCGACCAUUUUUUCUAAAUUGUGUUUUUUUAUAAUUUUGCGAACAGCUUUGCAAAACCACAAACAUUUUUUGAAUCUGUAAUUUUUUUAUGAUUUUCUAAACAUUUUGAAUGCACAUAUAUUUUAGGAUUUCUCAAACAUUUUUUUUUGAAAAGUCGCAACUUUAGAAUAUUAAAAUCCCAAAUUAAUGUAAAGAAGAAAGAAGAAAGAAAACAAAAUGAGAAAAGAAAAGGCAAAAAUGAAAAAUAAAAGGGGGAGUGAAGACCCGCACAUGGGCUGGCCCAUGAACGCAUCAUGGGUAGGGCAUACGCGAGAAAAGAAAGAUAAAAAUUAUGGAAGCUGGGGAUCGAACCCUGGCUCGUCACUAGAGGAGCAAUCAGCCAACCACUCUGCUGCCCAUUGUUCUGUGACUUCUAAUCGCCGCGCCACUAUAAAACAAUGAGGGAGGCGGCAAUUUUUGCUCCCAAGGAUUGAAUCGUUUUCCCACUUACGGGUGGCAUUGGUGGGUAAAUUUUUAUCAACUUGGAGGGUAAUUCUGAUGGCGGACGACCAGAAGCGAUAGCCGCUUUAUUAGUAGGUUUAUUUAUUAGGCCUAAAGACUACUUCUCUUAGACCAAGACACAUAGUAAUUCGCUCACACUAAUUUUUCCAUUCUACUCCCGAUGCACUCUCUCACAUGCAUGCAGUCAAUGAAAAAGCACGCAUGAAGUGUAUUAAUUUUCCAGCCAUGGCAAAAAAAAUGGCUUUCAAUGCAACCAAUGAAAUGCAUGCAUGCACCUUUCCAAAGCAGGGCCUUAUAAAAGGGGACAUGCUUGUGAUGCUGAGAGGCCUAAUAAACCAGUACGGAGGGAGUAAAGAUUAGGAAAAGAUACACAAUGUGUUUUCAAGGGUAGACACCCGUAUCAAGUUUUGGAGGGAUUUUUAGAAAACCUCUGUGUUGCGGUUUCUUUUAGAAAUUGUUUUUGCGCGUGAAUACCGUCAUUGAGAUUAGUUUUCCUGUGCUGGAUUGUAAGGUUCAAUCCCUCUAAUUCGUAUACAUCGCAUGCGCAGGCGAGAGGUUACUGCUACUCGUGGGGGAGUGUCGUGAAAAGUCGGGCCGCAACAACAGAUCGCAUCUCACCUCGAGGUUUAAUUUGGUCUAGAUCGAGAGUGGUCUUGUUCGGAAGUUUUGUCCCAACGAAGUAACAUAUAAAACCAGACUUAAUUUGGACUUUCAGUUUGAAAGAUAUAAUAGAUUCAAAUUUAGAGAUAAAUGAAAAGGCAUGGGAGGUGAGGUGGGUGACGUAUGCAACUCUGCCAAAAGUUUUCAUGUAUGGACCCUUGUGCAAGAAUUAGGGACUAAUCACAUAAACGAACUCACCAACCUUGAAGCAAAUGGGUGGCCACAGGCAUGCGUGCCCCUGCACGUACGUGGCCCAAUGAAUUUUCAGAAACAUAUGUCUUUUCUCACCUCCUAUUGAAUUUCUUACCUACACUCUAUUCGAAAAGUAGUAUGAUGGAUGAGUUUUUGUUUGUAUACAUGUAUAUUCUUACCAACAAAGUAACUUACAAACUAAUAGUCGAAAGAUAGAAAGCGUCAACAGUUGAACUUCCUAGUGAAGGUGUUGACUUCGUCAAAAUCUUCAUUUUGCCACAAGUUAAUUUAUUACUCCCUCUGUACCAUAAUACUUGUCGCUGGGGAACUUGUACUGGUUUUCCCCAAUGACAAGUAUUUCGAUACAGAGGUAGUAGAAGCAGCCGCACAACACCACUCUAGAUGUCUACUAUGCCUGUGUGUGUUAUCAUAUCUUUGGUUCUUUUCUCACAAUCUUGUCGAUAUGUUUAUGUGAUUGCCAUCUUUUUAUGUAACAUGCUAAUGUUAUUAACAUGCUAAAAUGAGUGGAACUGCGGAACUAUAGCUAGUUUGUAACAUAGAAGUAUAUUCUAGCAACGGUGAAGUGAUGCAACUAGACAAUGGUGUUGUUGAACAUCGCACGGUUGAUAAGCAGUGACAUGUCCGUGUGGAGUAUGUACACGAUCGGUGGACGUAUUAACAAAGAUGUGGGUGUCGUCAUGUGAUCCUCUGCGUGGAAGAAGAUCCAUCGGUUGGUUGUAGUGGAAGCCGGGUGGGGUCACCUGAAGUUCUCCUCACUUACUAUUCAGCACCCAAGCGUGAAUGAUGGGUGCCAUUGCGGUGUGAGAACUGAAGGAACUUGGACCAGCACAACUGCCUUUUUUAUACUACUCUAGUCCAUUGGUAAUGACCAGUAAUCACACAACUUUGUUUAACUCAAGUUCUCAAGGACGUGAGUAAUAAUGAAUAUUGAUUUCUCUUAUUACAAUAUGUGAUCUCAUUCUAAAAUGGUACGAACGUUCUUUAAAACGCACGAACACGUUUUGCUAGCUACACGAACAUUUAUCUAUUCCAUUAUAAUAUUAUAUACUAAAAGCGCAAUACGAAGUAUUUUCGAGACACUACGUUGGUCCAUGUCAUCAAAAUUAUUUAAACUGUUGAAUUUGUAAUUUAAUAGAUCACUACCAUUCGAACUGCAUAACCAUACUUAAAACUGAUCAUACCUGUCAGAUUUAAAUAAUUAUAGUGUGUGCACGAUUCAUGCACCACGACAGGUAUCAGUUCGCCCAUGCAUGUGUCGAAUUCCAGCAGAUGGUUUGAGGGAAAAAAAAUUAUAUGAGAUCAGGUCUCAUAUAAAACAGGUGAGAUCCGCCCUGAUGGAUGACACGUGGCAUUCACAAAUCACAAAUCAUCUAAUCUCUCCCUUCCCCUAAUUUCAGGUGAGGGGAUGGGGUAGAUGCUUUGUGAUUUGUGAAUGUCACGUGUCAUCCAUCAGGAUGGGUCUCACUUGCUAACUUGUGAGACCUGGCUCAUAGAAUUCUUUUCCAUGGUUUGAUUGCCCAUAUAUCCGUGGUCUGCAUAACAGAUCCGUUAUUAUAUCCACUUUCCAAUACGGAUGUGCGCAUGCUAACCCCAAAGUUGAUCGAACGAAGUGCGUCAUGUGUGUGCGUCAAGGCAUAGGAGUAGUACUCCCUCUCUUCUGGUUUAUACUCCCUCCAUCUAUAGAUAUAUAUGGCCUAAUACGUUUUCCGUGGUUCAGGUUGACCAUGGAUUAGAGAAAUAAUAUAUGACAUGCGUGUUACACAAAUCAUACUAUUAGAUUCAUAUGUGAAAGGUGUUUCCAAUAAUAUAAUUUUUAUAUCAUACAUCUCAUGCAUUGUUAAUCUUAUCAAUGAUCAAAUGCAACCUCGAAUCAUGGAUGGUGGGAGUAGGGCUUACCUUUGAAAAAUAUUUUCCUAAUUUAUAAGUCUCUAUUUUAUUGUUCCCAUUUGCAUGUCCGGAUUUGAAGGUGCAUUAAACCGUUGCAUGCAUGAAUUAAGAGAAAACUCAUGCACGUAAAAGUUUUUAGUCAUUUAUUUUGUCAUGCAUGCAUACACUGUAAUUAAUACUCCUUCAUUGGUAAACACAAUUUGUUGAGAAAAAUGAUUCCAUUAAUUGAUUACUUACGCAAACUACAAACAUUAUUCUAUCACUCAACAUCUACCUACUCAACAUCUUGGUUGAUGAAAUUUUUAAAUUGAGUUCUAUAAACCAGAAGGGAGGGAGUAUAUGGUGCCAAGGAAAAAACAUGUGAGGCUCCAAUACUAAAAGCACAAUAGGGAGGUUUUUCCAGAUGCGGCGCUUCUGGUCUCGAGCUGAAGUGGGCUCGCUAUCUGGGUGGUUCGGCGUGUCUUUGAGAUGCGGUGCAAUUAAUUUCCGGGCCAGCCUGCCGUUUGGCUAUAAAUCAAGAAAUCUGCAUAUACGGUAGAUGUGUAUCGUGUAAGUUGUCCCAGAUCUGUAACGGAAGGGGGCCACCGUGAUGGGAAGAAAGGGAAGCCGUGGCUCGAGGCGUCAAUGUCGUUCUGAUUCAUGGCACAGGAAUUACACUUUUCCUUAUGUGCGGCAGACGGGAAAUAAAUUUGGUUAGUUGUGUAUUUCCAGUGGUAUGGCUUUCGUCGUCCACGUGCAGUGCAAAGCGAAGAGGAGCAAGGAGCUGGAGAGGGGAGCCGCCAUUGCCGCCUAUGGAGUUUCGCAACCCAUAUUGUGGUACGAAUCAAGGACCUCGUUCUGUGGAUUGAGAAUUUGCGCCGUUUUGUUGACUCCUACCCAAUUUCUUUCCUCCAUGCUGGCCUCCAGAUUCCCCUUCUGGAAGGGGUCGAUGAGAGCCCAACCCCCAUUCACCUGGACGUGCACGGCGCGGUGGUUCUGGGAGCGGUCGCCGACUCACAUCCAUCGCCGUUCAGCAGUGGGGACCAAGCCCCGUCAUCGGCACUCAGCGCGGAGGCUCAGAUCUGGAAGGAAGAAAGGGGCGAACGCGUUAGAUGCGAGGGAUCGCCGCAGGCUUCCGAGUUGUUCACUGGGAAGAUGAACCCACAUGCCCCUGGUUGGGCCAAGAGGUGCGUCCAAUAAUCACAUAUGUUUUCAGUGCGUGAUUUUAGGAUGUUGUAACCAUGUAGCAUGGCGAGAAAUUGUGGAGAUGGUGAUGUCAACUGAGAACUGAAUUGUAGAGUUUAGUGGAUUUAGCAUAUGUAGAGCCCAUAAUUUACGGCUUCGAUUUGCAUGGGCAUUGAGCAGGUUUACAUAGGCUGCUAAGUUGUGAACAUGAGAACUCAACAUGGAGUUAGGCAUGGAGGGGGAGCCGUAAACUCCAAGAAUUACCGUCAUGGAUGUAUCCUAAAAAAUUGAGGAGAUAAUGAGCACAUAAUAUGCAGAGACAUUUUAAAAAAAAGAUGCAGUUUUUGUUUUUGGAAUGUAUAAAUUGUUGAAUGCAACCAGGAAGAUACAAAAUUGAUUUCUCCAUUAAGAGGGAGAGACCAUCAUUUUGUGUUUGGUAUUUGGUAAAUUAGGCUGGUCGUAAUGGUAGUAUUAUAAGCGGUAUCAUGCAUGUCAACUAGAGUCUUUGAAUGAUGUGGUACACAAUUAAAUGAGGAAAGAGAUGAUGUGGUAUCAUAUUAAAUAUUGUACUACUUUGUGUCAUCAUGGCAAUUAAUAAGGCAACCUAAGAUAUUAACUUAUGAUACUAUGCAUUACGGAAAUAGUAUCAUACACUAGUAUCAUAUGCAUGAUACUAGUAUAUGAUACUCUCCAUUACAACCAGCCUUAGGUGAUAUCAACGCUUGGUUAGCGUGCUAUGAAUUGCUAGGGUGAGGAUAGGCACAGCAACACCUAGAAGGACACCAUGUCCAUUGCGGGUGAGUGCAUUGGAGAAAGCAAUGAGCCGUGGCACGGAACAUCUAUCACAAGCUGUGACGCGGGGAACAGAAUCAUCAAUUUAUCGUUUAGACGUCAGGAUUCAGUUACGUGUGUAGGUUGUUUGAAGGAGCCCUACGGUAUACAGUUAUGAGAAAAAGGGUUUCCCCACCGCUUUGUAUUACAAAGCAAAUAUCCGAUACAACCAACGAUAGGUGCUGGGGCGAAAGCAGCACAACCACGUCCAAAAGAAAAGAAACAAAUGCCGAUAACGGCGGAUCGACAAAGACGACGAAGCCUCGCGACCGCUGCUUCCACCAGAAAUCGUCCCCCAAGCUCCGAGACUCCGAAGCGCCGGUACCAAUCAACACCUCCAAGAAGGGACGCGAAGAUGACGACGCUGCUGCCAAGGGUUUCUCCCGGUACACAGUGAGGAAAGAAGAAGGGUAGCCUCGACGCCCUCCAGGAAGGUCCGAUGGCACCCUCAGGCGCCACCGCGUCGGUGUCGGUCAAGCCAACAGGGAUUUCUCCCGAUCCCAUUCUCCCCCUCAGGCACUUCGGAGCUCACCACCAAACCAACCACCACCCUGCGCACACGGACAUGAAGCUUCCCACGCUGUCUCACCACGGCACCGCGAAGAUGGCCUGCACAACGAGGAAGGGGAGCCGGGACUAGGGCAGCAGCACCAUCAGCAUACUGGAGGGCCCCACCUCCACCGUCCACGACGGUAGCCGACCGGACGCCAAAGCGGGAGUCUGCCGGGCCCGUGGCCCCACAGGCCCGGCCGGGCCCUCAGAGGCCUGGACAACUCCCGCCUCCGCGCCGCAGCUGGCAUGCGGCGUCGCUGCUGAAAGAACAUGCGGUGCCCCCAUGUUUGGUUUUGGUAAUUGAUGACAAUCUCUAUGGACUAAUGGUUGUCUUGAGUUAUAUUUGAAGGAUCUGUCCAUAGGCUUUUCUUGAAGUCCAUGUGUUGGUUUCAAGGAGUUUAUGAGUUGACCAAGGUGUUAUUAAGGAAUUAUCCAAAAAUUGGUCAUGUGAGUGUUGAGCUUAUUGCAAGCAUGUCUUGAAGAAGAAGAUUGUGUGAUCAUUCAUGUUUACCUUCAAGACAUCAUCCAAAUGAAGAGAGUUGGAAAGACUCAAGGUUGAUCAAGACUAAGUCAAAGAGUGAAUUAAGUUGAUCAACACACAAAGCAUAGAAUAUGUACCGAGAGGGAUCAAGCGAUCCCAUGGUAUGGUUGUGGUGUGCAAGUUCAAGUGAAGCAUCACGAAGAGAUCAAAUGCUUGAAGCUUGCCGUCCAUUGUGGUGACAAUGGACUUGUGAAGAUGUGCGGAAGAGAGGCUCACCCAUAGUGGAGUAUGGGGGAGCAAUCAACUAGUCUUCAUCGAGCCAACGCAAUCAAGAAAGGUGGUCCAACUUGAGGGAGUCAAGAUCGUCAUCAUCUAGCUCAAGUGGACCAUGUGCAAGGCAAAGAUUUGCCCUUGAUAGGUUUUCUAUUUUACCGGUCUCAUGGUAGUUGUGGGAGACCGGGUUAUAGGAUCGUUUGCCGUACUAUCAAAGGGGGCUCUCGAUGAGUUGCUUGAUCGUAUCGUUCAUAGAGAGCUCAAACCAUUGCAUCCUUGCAUCAUCUUUUUUGGUUCCUGUUUGGUUCUUCUCCUUGUGAGAUUUGGAGCUUAUGGUCAUUUUUAUGACAAGCUCGGGUUCAUCGAAAACGGAGUUCACAUGCUUCUUCUAUGAUGUUUUCGAUGUUGGAGGGUAUGUCGGUUCUUCUCUGUUGGAGGUGCCACUCCUUUGUUUGCUAAGCAUACCUCGCCUUUGAUGCUCCUUGUUGUCUUGUUUCAAACAAGCUUGAGUUUGCUCAAUUCGGAGCUCAUUUGCAGAAGUUAUGGCAGUUCUGGUUUUCUUUGGAGUAUUCUUUGUUUUCGCGUUGUCUGGUUUUCUUUGGAGUACCGCUUAUCGCCACAAGCGGUAGUACCGCUGUCCCACAGCGGUAGUACCGCCCAUGGCCAUAAGCGGUAGUACGGCUCCGGUUCCGCGCUGGUACCACCUUGACUCGAGACGUGGUUUUCUCGUGUCGGGUUCAGCGGCAGUAGUAGCGGGAGUAGGAGCGGUAGUACCGCUCGUGAGCAGUAGUACCGCUGGGGUGAGCGGUAGUACCGCUGGGGUGAGCGGUAGUACCGCUUAUAUACGGUACUACCACCCCAAGGUUCUUGGUUUGUUGCUCUGUUUCCCUGCUUCUUCUGCCCGAGCGGUAGUACCGCUCGUGGAGCGGUAGUACCGCUCGUGUGCGGGCUGAGCACAUAACGGUUGGAUUUUCCCCCUUGUAUUAAAGGGGGUCUUCUUCCCCAAUGAACCUUAUCCUUUGAGCUCGUGUUCUUCCCCCAUUGUUGACCUUCUUCGAGCUUGCUAACUCUCAAUCCCUUCAUGGAUUCUUGCUAGUUUUUGAGGGAAAAGAGAGAGGAGAUCUAGAUCCACAUUUCCACCAAUCACUUUCUCCUCUAUGUGAGGGGAACCCCUUGGAUCUAGAUCUUGGAGUUCUUGGUGUUCUCCUUGUUUUUCCUCUCAUUUUCCUCCCUAGCAUUAGUUGAUUCGGUGGGAUUUGGGAGAGAAGGACUUGGGCACUCCGUGUGCCCUUGCCAUUGCAUUCGGUGCAUCGGUUUGAGUUCUCCAUGAUGAUACGUGGAAGUUUCAAGUUGAGAAGCUUAUUACUCUUGGGUGCUUGGUGCCCUAGAGCUUGUUCCUCUUGGGUGCUUUGGCGCCCUAGACGGUUGGUGGUGCUUGGAGCUCAAUCAUUGUGGUGUAAAGCUCCGGCCAAGCGUCGGGGUCUCCAAUUAGGUUGUGGAGAUCGCCCAGAGCAAUUUGACGGGUUUCGGUGACCGCCCCCAAGGGUUGCCAAAGUGUACGGGUUCGGUGACCGCCCCCAAGGGUUGCCAUUUGUACGGGUUCGGUGACCGCCCUCAAGGGUCCUGUCAGGACCCCGACUCGAUGUCACAUCGAUCUAGCCGGUAACACCUCAUAUCACUUUGCGGCCUCACGCACGGUAUCCCCACGGGUGUCGCCUUACCUUUGCCCAGGACCGUUUGCGCCUUUUGGCUCACGUAUAUGAUAGUGUCGCUAGCAUCCAUAUGAUAAAGAGCCCGGGCUGACAUGACUAGUUGUAAACCCAAAGUGGCACAGACUUACAGGGACAGGCAUCCAUGACCCAGCUUCGAACGUGUCGGUCAUCAGCAAGUGGGUCCGGGCUGUAGCACUGGGCUAGCAGGACUCCGGUAAACCGGGCUGUAGCGGGCAAACAGGACUCCGGUACUCAAUGCGUGACAUUUCCCCGAAGGGACAGACACAGGAAUGAGGAAGGACACAUGCCGGCCAGCCUAAGUGUUCCAGAGCAGUAGCAAGCUACCAUGGCUCAGCGGUAACACUAGGAGACAUUUCCCGGUAAGAGAGGCUACUAAAGAUAAACAACUACAUAGUCAGAUCCCACACAUACCAAGCAUUUCAAUCAUACACACAAUAUGCUCGAUAUGUGCAAAUACAACGAAGCAUCACAACAUGACUCUACGACACAAGUACUUUAUUUAAGGCUCAGGGAGCCAUACAUAACAUACACAAAGGUACGGGUCUCACGACCCAACAUACAAGUCAUACAGUCAUACAAACCAGCAGCGGAAGUAACUUGUCUGAGUACAGACAGCUAGUAAAAUAAAAGAGGCUUGGAAAGCCUAGCUAUACUACGUGGUCCUUCACAAGAUCAAGAUCACCACCUGGGUCUUUAACCUACUCGUUGAUGUCAACGUCUACAUAGAACCCAUCAGAAGGGGUUGCAGCGUCUUCUGUAAAAAUGUAGAUUAUAGCAACAUGAGUACAAGGGUACUCAGCAAGUCUUACAUCAGAUCCUACAUACAUGCAUGUUGUCAAGAAGGGUUGGUGGAGUUAUUGCAGCAAGCCAGCUUUGACUCUUGGCUAGGCUAUCCUACGAUACUCCAACUUGAAAUGGUUUUGCGCACACGAGUCCACUACUCACCACUUCAAUACACCACCGAGGAUCCGCCUCCGUCUUCCUACGGAAGAGCCAUCCUCGGCACUCACACUUAUCUUGAGGCUUUUAGUAGUUUCCAUUUACUUGUCUAUGAACUGUAUAGGCAACCAAGUAGUCCUUUACCGCGGACGCGGCUAUUCGAAUAGAUUAUGAUAACCCUGCAGGGGUGUACUUCUUCAUACAUGUUUCCACCACUUAGCGUCUGCACACGACAUGUGCUCGGCAGACUUCAAGCGAAAGCCGACGUGGGUGUAGACCACGACCUACCUAAACACUUAAGCCUCUAGUCCAGGUUUAUCGCCUAUCCAGGUUCCAUCCGCAGGGAGUCCGGCCGAGGUUUCCCAUACGGCCCCGAACGAUGUGAACAGGGUUCCCGAGAUACCUAACGGGUAUUCGGUACACCCGGCCACGUACCUACCGCAUCACAGCCCACCCCUACGGUCAGCGCUGUCCACGGCCUCCAGUAGGCUACAAACACCAGAAACUACUUGCAACUCCUGGACAGAGAGCUAGGGUGAAUAAGAAGUCGAGCGGGGUCAUAUUUCAGGGCCCAAUGCAUGGUAGUAGCUGUAUCUUAAAUCACACAUACAGAUCUCAGUGCUUAAGGUCGGCUUCAAUGAAACAACCCACCAUGUACUCCUACAUGGCCUCUCAUCGAUACCUUUACCAAAUCGUGUUCACCACGCCACUCUCAUUACCGACAUAAACAUUUCACUCCAGCCCAUCACCUAGAUGAACCAGACCUGACACGACUCUAAGCAUAGCAGGCAUAGCAAGGUAGGAACAACACAUACAUAUGGCUCAAUCAACUCCUACACAUGCUAGUGGGUUUCACCUAGUUACUGUGGCAAUGACAGGUCAUGCAGAGGAAAUGGGUUCAACUACCGUAGCACACAGCAGUUUGAAACGCGUUGUCUUAAUGCAGUAAAAGAGAGCAGGAGCGAGAACAUGGGAUUGUAUCGAUAUGAUCAAAUGGUUGGUUGCUUGCCUGAUGGUUCGAUGCACGGAUACGGUUCUUCGUUAGGGUAAUCACGGUACUCCUCGGAGGCAGAACCUGUCGCAAAGGACACCGAUAUACAACCAUCACCAAACAAUGUGCAACAAUAUGAUGCAUGCAUGAAACAUGGCAAUAUGAGUGUGUUGGGCUAAUGCAACUAAAACCAGAAGGGUUUGAACAAAUUUGAAUCAAAGAUUCAAAUUUCAAACUCAAAUAUGGCCUUUUAAAGUGCUUUUUCUUGUUCUGCUUAAAACAUCAAUUUAACUUGUUUGAUCAUGCAUGAAAAUAGUACAGAUGGAUAGAUUGGAUUUUUCUGAUCAUUUUUCAUAUAUAAUUUGUCUAAUUUGGAGUUACAGAAUAAAAGUUAUGAAUUUUUGAAGUUUAAAUAAUAUUCUGGAAUUUCCUGAUUAAAAUUAAAUCCAGAAAUAUAGUUAUUGCGCCAGCAUGACGUCAGCAUGACGUCAGUGGUCAACUGCGGCUGGCUGAGGUCAAACCUGACGUGUGGGGCCCACACGUCAGUGACAGGGGGUUAAACAGGAUUAAAUUAAUCCUAAUUAGGGAUUAGUGGCGCUGGGGCCCACUGGUCAGUGUCAGGGGGUUAACUAACAGUGGUUAGCGCUAAUCCUAAUUAGCUACAGGGCUGGGCCCACCUGUCAGGGACUCAGGGGGUCCUGCCGUGGUCAAAGUGGGUCAAACCCACCGGCGACGUGACGCCGGCGAGGCCCGAGACGGCGGCGCGAUGCGGGAUCGCGCUACAGGGCACGGGCGAGGCCGUUCUUGGGCUCGUUGGAGAGCUCUUGCUCCCGCGCGUCGAACGGUGGUGGCGGCCGAGCCUGGGGUGGCCGGUAUCGUCGACGGCGAGCUCGUGAGCGGCGGCCGGAGUUCGGGUGCGGUCGGAGUCGGCGUUGCAGGGGGUUUGGGGAGGCGUUGGUGCGUGCUGCGUGCUCCUAGUGAGGCGUGGAGCACGAUAGUGUGCUCGGUUGGGCGCUACGGUGACCGUGGCCACGACGGCGACAUCGCCGGCGGCGUGGAGCUCUCGGCCAAGGUGGGGCUAAGGCCUAGAGGUCGAAAGAGACCAGGGGAGAAGGGGGAAACGACUCGAGGGCUCACCGCGGUUGCAGUAGGCGUCGAAGCGGGCUCGGAGACGCGCUGGAGACGGUGAAUUCGACGGCGAUGAUGGUCGGAGCCCGAAGAGGGGAACGGCGACGUGGCGGCGAUGCAGGGCUUCCGGAGGCCCGUGAAGCGGUGGGGAGGAAGAGGGGGUUGUGGCGGAGCUUCUGAGCUAGUCGGGGGAGCGAGGGGUGGCCGGAGACGGCUGCUAUGGCGAACGUCGGCGACGGUGGUGUUCGGCGGUGUGAGGGAGAGAGCGAGGGAGAGGAGGGAAGAGCCGAGGGCGAGUGAGAGAGAGCCGGGGGAAGGCGUGGCGUCGUCCAGGGGCAUCGAGGCGAGGAGGGGAGGGCAGGCAGGCAGGGAGAGAGGUGGCGUGGCGCGGUGGCGCGCGCGCGCGCCGGCCACACUCCCCUCCCUCUGUCGGGACGAAGACGACAGAGGAGGGAGACGGGCUGGGCCGCCUGCUGGCUGGGCCGGCCAGCUGGAUGGGCUGCACAGGGAGGAGCCCAGGUAAGCUUCUCCCUUUUAUUUUUUUUUUCUGUUUUCUAAUUUCUGACAUUUGUUUUGAUUUAAAUAAUAUAUUAAAUCAUUUAUUUAACUUAUGCCAAUUUUUGCAGGGGCUAGAUAUAUUAUUCCAGAGCUCCUUUAUAAUUGGCAUAAUAUUUGGACAUAUAUUAAUAUAUAUAGAAUAUAUUUCCAAUGCAAAUAUUUAUGCAUUAAUUCCAAAUGCCCAAAAUAAAUGUCCAUGAGCCACUAAAAAUAUUGGUUUGAUUUUUAUCUCUGUCCAAUAUUUUCAGAGAGCAACAUGAGCAUUUUCUUGGACCCUUUUGGAGAAAUUUUUAUUUGGGUCAUUUUCAAAAUGAUUCUGAGGGUUUCACAGAUCCCCAUUUCAAGUUAAAUGGAAAUUUAAACAUGAUGCACACACUCUGAUGCAUGACUAGCUAGGGUGUGACAACUCACCCCCACUCAAAAGAAUCUCGUCCCGAGAUUUGGGUUCCUCCGGGAAGAAGGCGGGAUACUCAAGUCGAAGACGAUCCUCCCUUUCCCAAGUUGCUUCAUCCUCAGAAUGAUGAGACCACUGAACUUUGACGAACUUGAUGUUCUGACGUCGAGUGGUACGCUCGGCCUGAUCGAGGAUACGAAUGGGGUACUCUCGAUAUGUAAGAUUAUCUUGGAGAUCAAGCGUUUCGUGGUCCACUCCACGGAUAGGAUCCGAGAAGCAACGCCUGAGUUGAGAAACGUGGAAGACAUCAUGGACUCUGGAGAGAUGCGGAGGUAGUUCCAACUGGUAGGCAACUUCUCCUCGUUUGGCGAGAAUGCGAAAAGGUCCAAUGUAGCGAGGAGCCAAUUUGCCUUUGAUACCGAAACGAUGGGUUCCCUUCAGAGGGGUGACCCGAAGAUAAGCCUUCUCGUCAACCUCGAAGGUCAUAGCCUUAUGUUUUCGGUCAUAUUGACUCUUUUGACGAGAUUGGGCUGUUUUCAACUUUUCACGAACGAUGCGAACUUGUUCUUCUGCUUCCUGAAUCAUAUCCGGGCCAAAGAAUUGUCUUUCCCCGGUCUCUGACCAGUUAAGGGGCGUUCGACACCGUCGUCCAUAGAGAACUUCAAAAGGGGCUUUACCCAAGCUAGAUUGAUAGCUGUUGUUGUAAGCGAAUUCGGCAAAUGGAAGGCACUUCUCCCAAUCCAUUCCGAAUGAGAUAACAGAGGCUCGAAGCAUGUCUUCUAGAAUUUGGUUGACGCGUUCCACUUGACCACUUGACUGAGGGUGGAAAGCGGUGCUAAAGGAGAGACGAGUCCCCAUAGCAUUUUGGAAACUUUCCCAAAAUCGAGAGGUGAAAAGACUUCCUCGAUCCGAGUUAAUUUCCAAAGGAACACCAUGGAGGGACACUAUUCGGGAGAUGUAUAAGUCUGCCAGCUGACUAGCGGUUAUACUCUCACGAACAGGUAGGAAAUGGGCUACUUUGGAAAGACGAUCGACCACGACGAAAAUAGCAUUAUUCCCUCUCUUGGUCCUGGGAAAACCGGUAAUGAAAUCCAUACUAAUUUUAUCCCAUUUCCAUUCAGGAAUAGCUAAGGGUUGAAGGGUGCCAGCAGGCCGUUGGUGCUCUGCUUUCACACGACGACAGACGUCGCAAUUAGCAAUAUACUGAGUAAUUUCUCUCUUCAUCCUAGUCCACCAGAACCUCUGGCGUAGGUCCUGAUACAUCUUAGUACUACCGGGAUGAAUAGUGAGAGGAGAUUCAUGAGCCUCCUUAAGGAUCAACUGCCGUAGAUGCUGGUUCUUGGGAACCACUAGACGGUUCUCAAAGUACACAACACCAUGAUCAUUUGUGGAGAAACAACUAGCACCUCCGCUAGCAAUGUUCUCUUUGAUUUUAGAUAUUCCCUUAUCUCGCUUUUGGGCAGCGAUGAUUUGAUCCGUAAGAGUAGGUUUUGCUACCAAGUUGGAAAGAAAACCUUGAGGUGCAAUAUGAAGGUUAAGCUUCCGAAAUUCCUCAUGGAGAAGCGGUUGACUUUGUUGUAACAUCAGGUUGUUACAAUAAGAUUUACGACUUAGCGCAUCAGCCAUGACGUUGGCUUUCCCUGGGGUGUAGGUUAUUCCUAAGUCGAAGUCUGUGAUCAAUUCAACCCAACGUCUUUGCCUGAGAUUCAGAUCCGGUUGGGUGAAAAUGUACUUCAGACUUUGGUGAUCAGUGAAUAUUUCGCAACGGUUACCGAGGAGGUAAUGUCGUCAGGUCUUAAGUGCAUAGACUACGGCUGCAAGCUCUAGAUCAUGAGUAGGAUAAUUCUCCUCAUGUGGGUGCAAUUGCCGUGAAGCGUAGGCAAUUACGUGUCGAUCUUGCAUGAGAAUGCAACCUAGUCCUUGUCGCGAGGCGUCGCAGUAGAUAACAAAGUCCUUGGAGAAGUCUGGCGGUACCAGUACGGGAGCAGAAGUCAGGCGUCUUUUCAGUUCCUGAAAGCUGUGCUCACAUUGUGGAGUCCAUUCGAACUUCUUAUCUUUCUUGAGGAGUUCGGUUAGAGGUUUGGCAACUUUGGAGAAGUUUUCGACAAAGCGACGACAAUAGCUCGCUAAGCCCAGAAAACUCCGAACUUGCUUGACCGAUUCAGGUGGAGUCCAAUUAAGGACGGCUUGAACUCGCUCAGGGUUAACAGCAAUACCUUUACCAGAUAUUACAUGACCCAGAUAGGUCACUUCUGACAACCAGAAUUCACAUUUAGAAAAUUUGGCAUAAAGGCGAUGCUCUCGAAGUUUCUUCAACACUAGCCUUAGAUGUUCGGCAUGUUCUUCCUCGUUCUUGGAGUAGAUGAGUAUAUCAUUGAGGUAAACAACGACGAAUUUAUCCAAAUACUCCAUGAAGAUUGAGUUCAUUAACCGAGAAAAGGUGGCUGGAGCGUUGGUUAAACCGAAGGACAUGACGGUGUACUCGUAUUGGCCAUAACGAGUAACAAAGGCCGUUUUAGGAAUGUCCCCGUUUCUGAUUUUGAUUUGAUGGUAGCCCAACCUCAAAUCCAUCUUGGAGAAGACUGAGGAUCCAGCGAGCUGAUCAUACAGAUCGUUGAUCCUGGGAAGUGGAUAUUUGUUUUUGAUUGUGACCAAAUUGACAGGUCGGUAAUCUACAACCAUCCGGUCCGUACCAUCCUUCUUCUUGACGAAUAGGACGGGGCAAGCCCACGGAGAUGAACUAGGGCGGAUGAAACCCUUUUUCAAGGACUCAUCGAGUUGUUUCUUAAGCUCGGCUAGUUCUAGGGGUGCCAUCUUAUAAGGUCUUCUAGCAAUCGGAACGGUUCCGGGGAUGAGGUCUAUUACGAACUCAACAUCCCUGUCAGGUGGAACACCUGGCAAUUCUUCUGGAAAGACAUCCGGGAAGUCACGGACUACCGGAACGUCCUCAAGGUCUGGCAAAGGGCUGGCGUUAAGAGAAUAUAAUUGUCGCUUGGCUAUUCGGGUCAAGACAUUGACUAUCUUCCCCGAAGGAUGGGUGAGUUGAACAGUCCUAGAGAAGCAAUCAAUUUUGGCUUGAUGAGCUGACAUCCAGUCCAUACCCAAAAUGAUAUUAAUAUCUGAAGAUUUAAGGGCUAUCAAAGAUGCGAGGAAAACAAGUCUGUCGACUUGGAUUUCAUUUCCAUAACUUACCCUAGAGGUCUGCCAUCUAGAACCAGGGGUAGAAAUUUCCAUAGUGGAUGGCAUGUCACAGAAUGCAACGUUAUGCAAACGAGCAUAAUUUUCGGAUAUAAAAGAAUGAGAGGCUCCUGUAUCGAAAAGAACAGAUGCCGGGUGGCAGUUAACAAGAAGCGUACCGAGAACGACGUUGGGAUCCUCUUGAGCUUCUUCGGCAGAGAUACAGUUGACAUGGCCACGUGAAGCGGUGACCGGCUUGGCGUGGAAUAUUUUUCCUGCCGGCUUGCCACGGCCAACAGCUUUAGCAGACUGGUUGGGGUUGGUCUGGGGACACUCACGCAUAUAGUGACCAGAUUCCCCACACUUGAAACAAGUCACGGAACUGGUACGUGGAGGAGCAUUGUUGGUUGGACCCCCAUAGGGCUUGGCUGAAGCAGACUAUUGAACAGGGCGAGGCGCCUGGAAAGAUGGCCUCGGUGUGAACCUGGGUGGCAGGGCGGUGUUGGGUACCCACACGCGGCGCUUCUGAGGACCAGCACCGGAUGAGGAACCCAUGUCACGGCCAUGCUUGCGUGUUGCGUCAUAGUCAGUCUGACCAGUUUCAGCACUGAUGGCUUUGUUGACAAGUUUCUGGAAAGAUGUGCACUCAUGCAGACGGAGGUCACGGCGAAGCUCAGGACUAAGGCCCUUACGGAACCUUGCUUGCUUCUUGGCAUCAGUAGACACUUCCUCAGUUGCAUAUCGUGCGAGAUUACCAAACUCCCUGCUGUAAGCAUCCACAGAAAGUCGGCCUUGGGUGAAACUGCAAAAUUCUUCACGUUUACGGUCCAUGAGACCCUCCGGAAUGUGAUGUUCACGGAAAGCCUCGCUGAAUUCAGCCCAAGUAGUGACAUGGCCCGCUGGGCGCAUAGCUCCAUAGUUCUCCCACCAUAGACUGGCGGGGCCUUCAAGAUGAUAUGCAGCAAAGGUGACCUUGUCAGCCUCAGCUACUAGCGCGGAACGCAGCUUGUGAGAGAUACUGCGAAGCCAGUCAUCAGCGUCGAGAGGCUCGACGGAGUGGUGGAACGUGGGUGGGUGUAAUUUGAUAAAAUCACUGAGUGACACCACGUUAGUCCUCUGAUGGUGUGCUGUGUUCUGUUCAAUACGCUCCAACAAACGGUUGGUCUCCCGCUUGUUUUUCUCAGCUUCCAUCAUAACCUCGGCUAGGGAAGGAGGAUGAGGCAGAUUUGCAUCCCUGACUUCACUGCCUUCGGCCUGCUCUUGAGGAGCAGGGUUAGUGCGCGUGUUGACCAUCCUAGGUAAACAAGACAAUGAUUUAGUCAGGAUGAUAAAAUUCUGACAUAGGAUACAAAUGUAAGGAAUAACUCAAAUGCAAGAUGAUCAUCCGUAUGACAUGGUAGAUACAGAAACUGCUUCUUUAUUCCAUUGUCAUACACACCAUACAGGGUUUAGUACAAGACCAAACAGAGUACUAUUACGGUGAAAAGAGGAUUACAUCUCAUCAGAGGCAUCCCAAGCUCCUAUAUAUUAUUUUUCUACACCUCCGGAAGGAGUACAAACUAGGUCAUAUCCCACGAGUCACGCGGAACGAUAGACGACACAACUAGUGCGAACUAGUGAUACUACCACUAACUCAGACCGACCCGUAGUAGUCCUCGUAGAAGUCACCUCCAUAGCCUGGAAGCUCAACAUGUUCAUCCGGAAACAGACGAUCUCGCGGAGCUUGUGGACCAUAGGGGCUAGGAUGAGGUCUUGGACCAACAAACGGUGGUCUGCGGGGACCGCGAGGUGGGGUGAUGCCUCCUACAUCACGCCAAACCAUCACGUCUGGCAGAGCAGAUCUCACAGGAUAGAGAUCGCGCAUAUCUGAAUAUCCAGCUUGCACCGUCGGUGCGAACCGAGUCAAAGUGGCCCAGUGGUCAGCACGGGUAUUGAAGAGCUCUAACCUCAAGGCCCGAUUUUCACGGUCCUUAUCCUCGAGCAUCUCAGCAGUGGUGUGAGUCCGUGAAUCCUCCUGGGUGGGGUCAGCAUAGAUAGCCUGGAGAUACCCUUGUGCUCCCGGAAGUGAUCCUGGCAUAUACCGGAAAUCAGAGUCCCGAAAUAGACCAGAUCUGACUCGCAUAAUGGUCAUCAUAGAGUAGGCGGCGUCCUGCACAGCCAUCUCAAUAGUAACCCCGAGUCCAUAGGAGCAGUGAAGAGGCUCGGUGGAUCCAGGAUAAGAUGGAAAUAUCCUGACAGUGCAGAGAUACUGGCUUUGAUUAAAAUCUCGAAAUUGCUCUUCGACCGUGUACUCAGGAUACCAGCGGUAUCCAGCCUCAGUCAUUACCCUGACCAACUUGGCAGUAUGGCCGAGUACAUCUAGGCAUCGAGUCAGGCGAACCACUUGAUUGAGGUCGCGAGUGGCCAUCUGAAAGUACAAUCAUAAUGCAAGGCAUUAGAAUUUCUAGCAAAAUUUCGGCAGCAUAACAGCUGUAAAUGCUCAAGAAGGAUUUUGAGACAUUUGACAAAGGAUUACAUACACACUCAUCAUCAUCAUAUCAAGUUCUGAGACCAUCCUAGCAACAUAAUGGGGUAGUGGAACUGAACUAGGCUUGGAUCCAUCAAACUUAUAAGGUACUACUGAUUAGUAACACGUGAUCCUGAUAGAGAGAACAGAUCCUAAUUCCUUAUCCCCCGGUAGAAGAAUGGACUGACUCAGAUCAGAAUGUCAUAAGAUAAAGGAGUAAAAAGAGCCUUACGUUCCAACCCACAAUCAAUUCCCCUACAUAUAACUAAAGAAUUUCUAGACUCAACAUCGACCAGUUUGGCUUGGAGAACCUACAGGCAGUCCGGCUCUGAUACCAACGCUGUCAGGACCCCGACUCGAUGUCACAUCGAUCUAGCCGGUAACACCUCAUAUCACUUUGCGGCCUCACGCACGGUAUCCCCACGGGUGUCGCCUUACCUUUGCCCGGGACCGUUUGCGCCUUUUGGCUCACGUAUAUGAUAGUGUCGCUAGCAUCCAUAUGAUAAAGAGCCCGGGCUGACAUGACUAGUUGUAAACCCAAAGUGGCACAGACUUACAGGGACAUGCAUCCAUGACCCAGCUUCGAACGUGUCGGUCAUCAGCAAGUGGGUCCGGGCUGUAGCACUGGGCUAGCAGGACUCCGGUAAACCGGGCUGUAGCGGGCUAACAGGACUCCGGUACUCAAUGCGUGACAUUUCCCCGAAGGGACAGACACAGGAACAAGGAAGGACACAUGUCGGCCAGCCUAAGUGUUCCAGAGCAGUAGCAAGCUACCAUGGCUCAGCGGUAACACUAGGAGACAUUUCCCGGUAAGAGAGGCUACUAAAGAUAAACAACUAGAUAGUCAGAUCCCACACAUACCAAGCAUUUCAAUCAUACACACAAUAUGCUCGAUAUGUGCAAAUACAACGAAGCAUCACAACAUGACUCUACGACACAAGUACUUUAUUUAAGGCUCAGGGAGCCAUACAUAACAUACACAAAGGUACGGGUCUCACGACCCAACAUACAAGUCAUACAGUCAUACAAACCAGCAGCGGAAGUAACUUGUCUGAGUACAGACAGCUAGUAAAAUAAAAGAGGCUUGGAAAGCCUAGCUAUACUACGUGGUCCUUCACAAGCUCAAGAUCACCACCUGGGUCUUUAACCUACUCGUUGAUGUCAACGUCUACAUAGAACCCAUCAGAAGGGGUUGCAGCGUCUUCUGUAAAAAUGUAGAUUAUAGCAACAUGAGUACAAGGGUACUCAGCAAGUCUUACAUCAGAUCCUACAUACAUGCAUGUUGUCAAGAAGGGUUGGUGGAGUUAUUGCAGCAAGCCAGCUUUGACUCUUGGCUAGGCUAUCCUACGAUACUCCAACUUGAAAUGGUUUUGCGCACACGAGUCCACUACUCACCACUUCAAUACACCACCGAGGAUCCGCCUCCGUCUUCCUACGGAAGAGCCAUCCUCGGCACUCACACUUAUCUUGAGGCUUUUAGUAGUUUCCAUUUACUUGUCUAUGAACUGUAUAGGCAACCAAGUAGUCCUUUACCGCGGACGCGGCUAUUCGAAUAGAUUAUGAUAACCCUGCAGGGGUGUACUUCUUCAUACAUGUUUCCACCACUUAGCGUCUGCACACGACAUGUGCUCGGCAGACUUCAAGCGAAAGCCGACGUGGGUGUAGACCACGACCUACCUAAACACUUAAGCCUCUAGUCCAGGUUUAUCGCCUAUCCAGGUUCCAUCCGCAGGGAGUCCGGCCGAGGUUUCCCAUACGGCCCCGAACGAUGUGAACAGGGUUCCUGAGAUACCUAACGGGUAUUCGGUACACCCGGCCACGUACCUACCGCAUCACAGCCCACCCCUACGGUCAGCGCUGUCCACGGCCUCCAGUAGGCUACAAACACCAGAAACUACUUGCAACUCCUGGACGGAGAACUAGGGUGAAUAAGAAGCCGAGAGGGUCCAUUGGUUUCGGGCCCAAUGCAUGGUAGUAGCUGAUUCUUAAAUCACACAUACAGAUCUUAGUGCUUAAGGUCGGCUUCAAUGAAACAACCCACCAUGUACUCCUACAUGGCCUCUCAUCGAUACCUUUACCAAAUCGUGUUCACCACACCACUCUCAUUACCGACAUAAUCAUUUCACUCCAGCCCAUCACCCCGAUGAACCAGACCUGACAUGACUCUAAGCAUAGCAGGCAUAGCAAGGUAGGAACAACACAUACAUAUGGCUCAAGCAACUCCUACACAUGCUAGUGGGUUUCAUCUAGUUACUGUGGCAAUGACAGGUCAUGCAGAGGAAAUGGGUUCAACUACCGUAGCACACAGCAGUUUGAAACGCGUUGUCUUAAUGCAGUAAAAGAGAGCAGGAGCGAGAACAUGGGAUUGUAUCGAUAUGAUCAAAUGGUUGGUUGCUUGCCUGAUGGUUCGAUGCACGGAUACGGUUCUUCGUUAGGGUAAUCACGGUACUCCUCGGAGGCAGAACCUGUCGCAAAGGACACCGAUAUACAACCAUCACCAAACAAUGUGCAACAAUAUGAUGCAUGCAUGAAACAUGGCAAUAUGAGUGUGUUGGGCUAAUGCAACUAAAACCAGAAGGGUUUGAACAAAUUUGAAUCAAAGAUUCAAAUUUCAAACUCAAAUAUGGCCUUUUAAAGUGCUUUUUCUUGUUCUGCUUAAAACAUCAAUUUAACUUGUUUGAUCAUGCAUGAAAAUAGUACAGAUGGAUAGAUUGGAUUUUUCUGAUCAUUUUUCAUAUAUAAUUUGUCUAAUUUGGAGUUACAGAAUAAAAGUUAUGAAUUUUUGAAGUUUAAAUAAUAUUCUGGAAUUUCCUGAUUAAAAUUAAAUCCAGAAAUAUAGUUAUUGCGCCAGCAUGACGUCAGCAUGACGUCAGUGGUCAACUGCGGCUGGCUGAGGUCAAACCUGACGUGUGGGGCCCACACGUCAGUGACAGGGGGUUAAACAGGAUUAAAUUAAUCCUAAUUAGGGAUUAGUGGCGCUGGGGCCCACUGGUCAGUGUCAGGGGGUUAACUAACAGUGGUUAGCGCUAAUCCUAAUUAGCUACAGGGCUGGGCCCACCUGUCAGGGACUCAGGGGGUCCUGCCGUGGUCAAAGUGGGUCAAACCCACCGGCGACGUGACGCCGGCGAGGCCCGAGACGGCGGCGCGAUGCGGGAUCGCGCUACAUGGCACGGGCGAGGCCGUUCUUGGGCUCGUUGGAGAGCUCUUGCUCCCGCGCGUCGAACGGUGGUGGCGGCCGAGCCUGGGGUGGCCGGUAUCGUCGACGGCGAGCUCGUGAGCGGCUGCCGGAGUUCGGGUGCGGUCGGAGUCGGUGUUGCAGGGGGUUUGGGGAGGCGUUGGUGCGUGCUGCGUGCUCCUAGUGAGGCGUGGAGCAUGAUAGUGUGCUCGGUUGGGCGCUACGGUGACCGUGGCCAUGACGGCGACAUCGCCGGCGGCGUGGAGCUCUCGGCCAAGGUGGGGCUAAGGCCUAGAGGUCGAAAGAGACCAGGGGAGAAGGGGGAAACGACUCGGGGGCUCACCGCGGUUGCAGUGGGCGUCGAAGCGGGCUCGGAGACGCGCUGGAGAUGGUGAAUUCGACGGCGAUGAUGGUCGGAGCCCGAAGAGGGGAACGGCGACGUGGCGGCGAUGCAGGGCUUCCGGAGGCCCGUGAAGUGGUGGGGAGGAAGAGGGGGUUGUGGCGGAGCUUCUGAGCUAGUCGGGGGAGCGAGGGGUGGCCGGAGACGGCUGCUAUGGCGAACGUCGGCGACGGUGGUGUUCGGCGGUGUGAGAGAGAGAGCGAGGGAGAGGAGGGAAGAGCCGAGGGCGAGUGAGAGAGAGCCGGGGGAAGGCGUGGCGUCGUCCAGGGGCAUCGAGGCGAGGAGGGGAGGGCAGGCAGGCAGGGAGAGAGGUGGCGUGGCGCGGUGGCGCGCGCGCGCGCCGGCCACACUCCCCUCCCUCUGUCGGGACGAAGACGACAGAGGAGGGAGACGGGCUGGGCCGCCUGCUGGCUGGGCCGGCCAGCUGGAUGGGCUGCACAGGGAGGAGCCCAGGUAAGCUUCUCCCUUUUAUUUUUUUUUCUGUUUUCUAAUUUCUGACAUUUGUUUUGAUUUAAAUAAUAUAUUAAAUCAUUUAUUUAACUUAUGCCAAUUUUUGCAGGGGCUAGAUAUAUUAUUCCAGAGCUCCUUUAUAAUUGGCAUAAUAUUUGGACAUAUAUUAAUAUAUAUAGAAUAUAUUUCCAAUGCAAAUAUUUAUGCAUUAAUUCCAAAUGCCCAAAAUAAAUGUCCAUGAGCCACUAAAAAUAUUGGUUUGAUUUUUAUCUCUGUCCAAUAUUUUCAGAGAGCAACAUGAGCAUUUUCUUGGACCCUUUUGGAGAAAUUUUUAUUUGGGUCAUUUUCAAAAUGAUUCUGAGGGUUUCACAGAUCCCCAUUUCAAGUUAAAUGGAAAUUUAAACAUGAUGCACACACUCUGAUGCAUGACUAGCUAGGGUGUGACAGGUCCCUUAGUGGAAUCACGACAUUUUGCAUUGUGCGAGGGCGUGAGGAGAUUACGGUGGCCCUAGUGGCUUCUUGGGGAGCAUUGUGCCUCCACACCGCUCCAAACGGAGAUUAACAUCCGCAAGGGUGUGAACUUCGGGAUACAUCAUCGUCUCCGCGUGCCUCGGUUAUCUCUUACCCGAGCCCUUUACUUAUGCACUUUACUUUGUGAUAGCCAUAUUGUUUCUUGUCAUAUAUCUUGCUAUCACCUAAGUAGUUUUUCUUGCUUAGCAUAAGUUGGUGGUGCACAUAGAUGAGCCUAGUUGUUGUAGGUUUUGUGCUUGACAAAUUAACCGCUAGGUUUAUUCCGCAUUUGUUCAAGCCUCAACCGUAAUUAUUUUAAAGCGCCUAUUCAUCCCCCCCUUCUAGGCGACAUCCACGAUGUUUCAGCUGCCCCCUGUCCGAGCUGCUCCACCACCUCAUCACACAGACGACGACGAAGACACGUCGGGGGCCGGCCCGCUAGGACCCAGAUGGGGCCCGCAGGCCUCGAUCUGGGCCAGGGACGCGCCACCGGCCAACCAGCGCCACCACGCUGUCUCGCCGCCGAGGGGCCGCGCCACCAUCAUGCGAGCCGCCUGCCACCGCGCCGGGACGCCGGGCCGUCAUCAGGCCGAGGGGCACAGCCGCCGCCCCCAUGCCCUGGGCAGGGAGCCGCGCGCGCGGGGAUAGGCAGGCCCCCCCGCCGCCAACACCACCCGGCCAGCGCCGGAGGCGCCCGUCGGCGGCGGUAGGGAGGAAAGGAGCGACGAGGGCGGCCGAAGUUCUUGCCUCUGUGCUAGGAGAAACCAAAGAGCGGUGGCUAUGGAGUUUCUGAUGCAGCCGGUCAACAUGUACGUUUCUUUUGUUAAUCCUCGUUUCUGAUCGGUCGCCGCAUUUUUUGGUAAUAGAUUCCCCACCCCCAAUGCCCAGGUUCCUGCUAGUCAAGGGCAUGGAUGACAUGGAACGACCAUUGGAUCUGGGCGAGUAGGCCGUCUCGGUGAGCCUCGAACUGGUCAUGACGACCAUGGAUUGUUCUGCGAUGGAAGCAGCGAGCGGGGAAGCGCAACUGGUGGCAGCUUUGGAUGGCCCUGUCAAGGGAAAGAGGAGCUCUCCCAUUGUCUCUCAACAAUCAACUGGUAAAGUCAAUCUAGAGUCUCCCGAGUGGACAAAGAGGUGAGACUGCAGUGCAAACCCAUCCCUUUGAUUUUCACCGCUUCUUAGUGUAUGCUCGUGUGUACUCUACAGCUAGCGACAAUGAUACUCCCAUGUCCUUCUUAAUGGCUCAUGAUUUUCUCAACAACUUAUUUUGUUUGGGUCAUGUUUGCAGAGUUAGGGUUCGUUCAACUGCCCUAGGGAGGGACCCAUGUCCUUCGAGGACAAAAUCACUGGAGACAGCUAUAAUGAGCUUUGCCGAAAGUCCUGGAGAUGAUGUGAUAGUGCGGAGGCUUGGGACCAGCUCUGAUACAUUGGACGAGGCGUGCGAUUUCUAUAACCUUUAUUCAUGGGAGAAGGGUUUUGGCAUACAGUAUGAGAAAAGCAGAUUGAAGGUAGAGAGGACCAAAUUCAUGUACGGUACGGUGAGUAGGCAAUAUGUGCAACAUUCAAAUUUAGUCUUGCUUGAUGAAUGGUAGCUAAAUACUAUUACCUUCGUACCAGAAUAUAAGACGAUUUUGUAGACUAAUUAGUAAUUAGACUACAAAAACGUCUUAUAUUUUGGCACGGAUGUGGUACUUCAAAUUAGCACAUUCAAAUGCUGCCGCAAUUGUUUUGACAUUGCUAAAUGAGGUCUUGCUUGAUGAAUGGUAGCUAAAUAGUACAUCCAAAUUACCACAUUUUUAUAAAUCCACAUUGCGAAAUGGAGUAUGCAUGACGCGCAGGUGCUUGACUUCAUCCAUCUUAAGCAAACACCCGCGAGGUAUAUUUUAAAAGAUGGAUGAGGGGUUCUCGGGACGUGACGCAGCUCACCUGACCCAAUACCAGAAGGACCAGAUGUACAAACGACCAUUCACUUACAGGCACUUCAAUAUGUAUAUGCAUGCAAGGGAGCGGGUGCAUCCAGGAGACACAAAGUGUGGAUGCGUACGGCAAACUAAUGGCUCUAUUGAAGGUGAUUAACUGAUUAUGUAGGAGACGCAGCGCUCGACGAGGUUUGAGACGGACUAGGGCUGGAGGAUAGGGUUGCAGAGAAUGGAAUUGUUGUAAGUUAGCUGGAGUACCAAGCCGUUGGAGAAGAUUUAGGACAUAUACAACAAUUCGAUAAAAGGAAUGGCAGGAUGUUUGCUGCGGCUCAAAGAAAAGAAGCCAGUCAUCCAACAACCAGUAAGGAGAAAGCACCAUAUCAAGGACUCAACAAGUGGACAAGAUUUUGUAGUAUCUAUUAGAAAAACGGUCAUAUAAGAAAACAACAUGCCUUGACAGGGGCGACGCUCCAAAGCAACCAAUGAGGCCUGGUAGGUGUAAAAAUUGUGCUGUCAAGACAUCUCAUGAACAAUUGCAUAAAGCCUCUUGAGAUGAGGUUGCCUGUCUUGACGUAGUGACUUGUUGACGCUGGAGCAUCCAUAACUGUGUUGUUGGUGGGAUGUUUGAUUUUUGUGAGUUGUAGAUUAUGUGAUUGUGCCUGAAUUCAUGAGCUGUGCCUCCAUGUUGUACCUAUUUUUUCCCUGAUAAUGUUCAACUGGCAUGAAAUUUCCAGUUUGACCUUUCGAAUGUUUCGAAUGAUAAUAUUUUUGCGGUGAUACUGUCCUAUGAGCUUUUCUAAGAACUGAUCUGUAUGUAUCUUGGGUGGACUUAGUAUGGCUGCGGUUCGCUUGAGUGCAAGUGAGCUGAAUCAAAUGAUCGUUUAAACUAGAAGUUGGUAUUUUUCUUAAAGCAGAACACAUUCAGUACUUCGUAGAGUUCAGUUUCUAGAAUUGACAGGUGAUGCACAGGGGUUUCCCCCCGUUUAUUGAGGAUCAAGUUUGGUGUGUGGUGAAACCACUCGUCAAAAAAUAUCUUGAUACUCAUUUAAAAAAAUUAUGAGGACCAUGUUUAUCUUGGUACUCAUACUAAAAUGGCCGUAUGCAUCCCUAGUUGAUGCAGAGGCCGGGAAGUGAAAUUCUCCCCAAUUUUUAGGCAAAACUUGGAACGGAUAUAUACCUAUCCGCUCGCCUAACCCCUCAUCCGCCUCCGUGUGCGGCCAGAGGAGAACCCUAGCCGUUGCCACCAUCGUCGGGCGUCUCUCCCCUGCCUCCCUCACCCUCGCCGCCGCCAGCAGGGCCGCUGGGCGAAGCCUGGCCGGCAAGGGCGGCGGCGGGGCAUCUCUCCCCUACGCGCGAUCUGGCUGGCACGGGACAACCUGUGCGUGAAGUGGCGCCGGACUACCGUGGGGUUCGGCGGCGCUGCGGGCGGAUCCUGGCGGCAGCGUGCAUGGUGCGCUGAUGGCUGGAGUCCACGCUUGCAGUGCGGAUUGGCGGCUGUGGGAGCGCUGGAUCUGGUGGCUGCAUGAGCCGUCGUGUUCGGUUCAAAUCUUUCGCGAUCUGGCGCUUGGACGCCGGUGGCCAGUGCGGGGUGGUGGUACUCGUCGUUGCCCAUGUUGGAUUCUCUGGAUCUGGAGCCUGGACGGAUCUGCACCAGAGUCGCCCCAUGGUGCUUUCUUCUCCAGAUGGUUUUGUUUCUCAGUUUGUGGCCAGAUCCGGAGCAGACAGAGUUUGGUGGUACAGGUUGGGGACCGAAGGAAACUUUGGUCGGCUAGCUCGACCCGGCAUCGGCGACGUCUUUGGCGUCGUUACCCUCCUUGGAGGCGAAGCCGAGGUCCCCUCCUAUCCACCUUUGACCCACUCGCGGACGAAAGUCCAAAAUCCGUCUUAGAUUGGGCGGUGGCGGCGCCCUUAGCGUCGUGUCCUCCAUGGAGGUGCCAUCUUGGGAGGCUUGGGUGUUCGGGGGAGAUGUACUGUGGGUGGGGGCACGGCAGUUCCUGUAGCGGCGAUGGUGUGGAGGUCGGCAGGUGGAGCGACGUUGGAUCUACCGCAUCGACGAUGACGAGUAUUGGCGGCAUGGUGUAGCUGAUUCUUGACGACGAAUGUGUCUGGAUGGACGUGCGCAGGAGGAGGACCAUGUCUGGCGUCAUAGUGGCGUUGAUGGCAGAGAGGCCUGGCAAGGUCGGUACAUCAUUUUUGUUCUGAGGAUGGACCGAGGGAUGAUAGAGGUGACGGCUCUUGCAGCAUGCGGUGGUCACUGGAAGUGUGCCAGACCGGGAUGGGACCCAAUCCAGGUAGUGGCUUGGAUGGGACACCCGGCUUUAGAUGUUAGGCUUUGGUGUGAUGUCUAUUUGGUAUUAGGCACGGACUUUCGGCACACCUUCAUCAAAGAGAUAGGAGUAGCAACAGCGUUGCCAAGAUGGUGACUUCAGGCUUAUUGAUGAAUCACCUUGUAUGGUCUUUGUGAAUAAUUAAUAAUAUGAUUGCAUGCAUCGUCCAGAUGCAGAGGCCGGGGGUACAUCCUCCUUUUCUAAAAAAAACUUCGUAGAGUGAGCAUUAAAUACUACUGUUCACCCAUACCUAUACCUUGAGUUUGAAAAAUUAGAAUUGAGUUAAUUACAGUUUUAGUACACAAACUUGCAGCGGGGGUACAAUUUCAUACAAGAACUUGCAAAAUGACUCAAAUUAGCCCCUAAACUUGCUCUGCGAGAACAAAUUGAUACAGUUUAGUCUAAAACUUGCCAUAUUGGACAGGAGGCACGCAUCGGCCAGACGGCCAGUCCGAUAUUAUGAAGAAAUGCCCCCAAGUAUAGCAAUAAAUGAACCCGUGGUCCUCAGAGAGAGCUGGUAGUAGAAAACUUAAAAGCGACCCUGAGGUUGUGCAAAAUAUUACAUUUGCACUGCGAACCCAGUACAAACCCUACGUCUGUUCGGGUUUUCGCCUGCCUGUUUGUUUCUCAUCGGCCGCUUAGGCUGUUCGUUUCUCAUCAGCGACGAGUGGCGGUGCUGCCUAGUUGGUCGUCGCCAACGAGAUCGUCACUUGAUGGAGCCACGUCCCCGGGGCAUUGGCGAGUUUCCUUCGGAUUAUGGUAUGCACACUCCUGCUAUGUUGGAUGGUCCCCUAUUUCGGACCUCUUAUGACUAGGGUUUUGAUCAUGUUUGAACAGAGGUAUUCGUUCUUGAUCGGCCCACUUAAACUAAAAACAGAAAAUUAAAGACAAAAACUAAAAAUUAACUUUAACAAAAACUCUAAAUGCAAAGAUUAGGAAUACUAAACUCCUCCCCGACAACGGCACUAGAAAAACUACUUGAUAUCUCCUUUUUAUUGAUCUGGUAUUGGAACAGAAAAAAGUAUCCCGCACACAUUUCCCUCGAGGUGACCCUGGUUUAUCGAACCCACAAGAGGAAGAUUCCCUUGAAGCGAUGGUCUCUAGCAAGCUUUCGUCAAAGUGUCAAAUCCAGCUUUUGACCGGAUCAACAAGCAAAUAAUGAUUUAAACACUUAUAAUAAAAAGAGGUAUGGGUAUGAGGUCUUAUGCUUACAACCUUGUAUUUGUGAUGGGAUCAAAUAUGAUGUUAGUUUCUGCGCUGCACCCGUCGAGAUGUGCUUGCCACGGAUCAACGCGGAAAUACCUUCGGUCAAACACGAUCAAAACCCUAGCCAUAAGAGGGCCGAAAUAGAGGACCAUCCAACAUAGCAGAAGGAGUGUGCAUACCAUAAUCCGGUGGAAACUCGCCAAUGCCCCAGGGACGUGGGCCAUCAAGCGACGAUCCCGUCGAUGGCGACCAACCAGGUAGCACCGUCGCUCAUCACGGACGAGAAACGAACAGCCGAAGCGGCCGAUGAGAAACGAAUAGGCAGGCGAACACGAAUAGACGAAGGGGUUUGUGUUGGGCUUGCAGUGCAAACGUAAUAUUUUGCAUAACCUCAGGGGUCGUUUUAAAGUUUUCUACUACCAACUCUCUCUGAGGACCGCAGUUUCGCUUAGUGCUAUACUUGAGAGCGUUUCUGCGUAAUAUCAGACUUACCGGCGCGUGCCUCCUGUCUGACGUGGCAGGUUUCAGACUAAAUUGCAUCAAUUUGUUCUCGCAAAGCAAGUUUAGGGAUUAAUUUGAGUCGUUUUGCAAGUUCUUGUAUGAAAUUGUAUCCCUGCUGCAAGUUUGUGUACUAAAACUGUAAUUAACUCAUUAGAAUUUCAAAACAACUGGGCUGGAAGAGAGGACGAUUGGCAGUUGGUGGCAGUCGCUGGCCAGAGAUAAAUGCGAUGGCCCGAGAGUUAAAAGGGACAGCGGCCAAGCUGUGACGGCUCAGUUUGCAUUAGCUAUGGAGCGGGCCAAGUUGUGUGCGCUAGUUAGAAAUACCAUCGAGAAUACAUCUGAAGAUACAUUGGCGUGAACAAAUCUUUGGGCCAAAGGACAGCGUAGAUAUAGCUAUUAUCUAAGCUCGUGCUCAGAUAAGCACUUUCGGGUUUUUUCAUGUGAGAUAAAUACAUGUGUGGUCAUUAAAGUUGAGGUCAAAGCACACUAGGGUCACUGAAUUUCAAAAUACACAUAAUACGGUCACUAAAUACGAGUUAUGGUGAUUAUACGGUCACUGCAUCACCCUAGAGCAAUGUAUUUUGUCGAGUUGACCGGUCAAACUAUCACCUAGUGAUGCAUGGUCACCGCCACGUCCUCUCUAUCCUGUAGGUCCGACUUGUCAGCUGGUGGCAAAAUAAAUAAAAAAUUCUUCACGCCGGGGAACGGAUUCGAACCCGAUUUCACACGGUUGGAGAUCACCAAGGCUAACCACUUGAUAAAACAAACUUGGAUGCAGCAGUAUCGAUCUUUCUAAUUUUAUAUAAACGUCAAUGCAUGCACCCAGGUACAGCAUGCGCAGUCGAACACAACCCAUGCAGCCAGAUCAGGUACACAGCACGUACGAACAGGCGCACACAAAGCAUGCACGCAGGUGCAACGCAUGCACCAGGCGCACACCACGCACAUAUACAACGCAUCCAUGCACACACACUCGGGUGCAUGGAGGCGUACAUCACCUACGGCAACGUCUGAUUCGUCGUGCUACGGCGAAGUUUGCCCACAACAGCGCCAUGUGCCAUCUCCCGCGGCUCCUUCUUGUCGUCAUUGUUCAGCGGCUGGACGGAGACAAAGGCGAUCACAUCCUCGGCCUUAGAGCAUCAGUUGAACAAGGACGUACGCGAGUAGGUUCUUUCGAGGGGCUGAAACAACAGGUGAUCAAGAGCGGCUCAGCACGAGCAGGACUCCAUCCAGGAGCGCAUCAACGAUGAACAUGUCGAGCAGGAGCGCGUUCACCGUAGCAGGUUUUUGAGCAUUAAAAAAACAUGAGCAUGUCAUGGACGAUGAAGGGGUUGGCUGCGGCAAGGCACGUCAUGGCGUCGUUCGAGACGACGGCGCUGUCUAGCUUGUCGAACAUGGCACGGGAGAAGGUUUAGUGCCGACAAGAGGUGUCCCGCCUCAACGGUGCUGGUCCCGUCUCCAUGGAGCAUCACGUCGUUGACGUCGAGGCCGCACGCACGCAUGGACACGCUAACACGCACGCACCAUACGCACGCAGAACAUAAAUAAUAAAAAACACACACAAACAUGCACAACAGAAAUCAGGGACGAAGCUAGAAAAAAAAGCUUGAUGGGGUCAUAUCCAUGACAAUGGGGUCAUCUUUUAUAAAUAAAAAAUGAUUAAUACUAAGUUAAUGAAAGAUUUAGUAAUUUCAUUGGGGUCAAUUGACCCCAAUGCCUACAUGCAAGCUCCGUCCCUGACAGAAAUGAGAAAAAACACGAAGCACACACUAAUAUGCACGCGCUAGCAAAAGAAAACAUCACACAUUAGCAGUCAAAGAAAAAGUUGGUAAAAGCAAUCGUACACAAACGAGUUACAUCGAGACAUUGUAUUGAUUAACCCUCAGGUUAUCAACGCUAAAGAACGACGGUCCUGGUGGUUUGCGCGUGAGUUCUACGACACUGAGUUCAAUUCCCGGCCAUUGGAGUAAUUUAUUUUUCUUCAUUUAUCUCUUAUACUCACUUACAGGUGGGACCCAUUGAGUAGAGAGACAACAAAAUGCUCAUGGUGCUGCCUUAGUGCCACAAUAGACUAUUUGAUUGGUCAACUGAACAAAAUACGGAGCUCUACAGUGAGUUAGUGACCGCAUAAUCACUGCAACUCGUAUCAGUGACCGUAUUAAGCGUAUUUUGAAGUCCAGUGGUCGUAGUGUGCUUCAGCCACAACUUCGAUGACCACAGGUGUAUUUAUCUCAUGUUGAGCGAACACAAGAUUCCUUUCACAUGGAUAUCGCGAAUUCCCGGAUGCCUACCAUGCCCAUCAGCGUUAAACGACUUCUCAGGCAUCCAGCUAGCAAUAUGAACAUGACUAUUGAUCAAGGCAAAGCCGAGCUACAGCCAGUCCCUUAAAUAGAGUUGAAACAUAUGGGGGCAUCCGUCCAUGCCGUCCUCUACUUAAUUACAAGAGAUCUCUAGAAGUGGCUGUACACUCCCACAUGCCAUUCUGAAUUUCUCAUAUUGUACUAGUGCUUCUGCUGAAAAUUCGCAUAGUACGUACAACCCAUACAUAUGUGUUCCGGUCAUAUGUUCAAAUUUAUGUGUGUAGAGUCUUCAAGCACAAGAGCGCACCACCGACUAUAUUACUUGCCUUCAUUGAGAUCGAGGCCAACCUUUGGAUCAUCGCCGGUGCAAAAAAAAUUAGGAUCCAUUAUUUUGCAAGAAUAAUGUUAUGUCGUGUAUUCGGGUUAUUUGUAACAAACUCUAUUCUCCCUUAUUUAAUGGAUGAGGCAAAGGUUUUGCCUCCGUUCAAAAAAAUAAAAAAUUUAUGUGUGUCUCCUAAGGCCAACGCUCAGGCUAUCGACAGCUUUGCUGUGACUGGCAGGUGGGCCAGUGUGCUUCUCUAUUUUCAUUUUUCUUUUUUUGCCUGACUGCUUUCUCAGGUGCACCGAAUUGGAUGGGUCGCUGUGAGUAUCUCGCUGGGUUGGCAGGGUAUGGAUGUGGUCUGUUCCUUGAGCAGAAAGCCCACCAACGUCGCCUGCAGCCACCGUCGCUGGAGAAGACGACCAAACGCCCAGAUACAGAAAAGCUUCCUCGUAUGUAUACAUAUACACAGCGGUAAUUGCCUUUGGCUCCUAGGUGCUUAUGCACCCAUUGUCGAAAUACACAUUUUGAAAAGUUGAAAAUUCGAAACAAAAAUCCCACGUGUAUAUCCGAAUAUUUUAUGUGCGUUCACAAGGUUUCGGUGAAAAAUGACGUUUUUUGCGGCUUGUGUAAAAAAGAUAAUUUCUGAUGCUUCAUUCUAACUAUUCACGAGGCAUUUUUUUAUCUUUUUUACACAAGCCAAAACACCGCGUCCUAUACACAGGCUAAAACAGCGCUCCUCGUUUAGUACAAAGUUGGGUCAUCUAUUUUGAAACGAAGGGAGUACGUGCAUGCCAGUGUCAAAACUUGCCACGUCCAAUCAUCAUGGAAGUAAGUCAUAAAACAACCUGUUUCCACGACUCCACACAUAUUUACAGAUCAACAGCCAGUCAUAAAACAUACAUUGAUAUUGAGCUUCAUUUUAGCUUGUGUUUGGUGUUCAAUUUUGUUUCCCUUAUGAACAGGAUUAAAUUCUUUUUGAAAUAUAUUUAGGUGGGGGAGAUUUUUCUCUCUGGAAAAUAUUAACUGAUACGACCGCUUCAGUAGCAGCUUGCAUAAAAAUACAAAUGAAUUAGCGAAAGUUGAUCAGAAUUUUGUGGCAGUACACCAAUACACGGUGUUUUAUGCCUUGGAGUCUACCAAUACACGUGUCGCUAAGUGGUUGGCCUUCCAGGAUAUUUCGGGCAGGUCUCGGAGAGUCGGACCCGUCGCCAUGUCUGGAAAGGCGUUGUCACAGCUAAAGUUUUGCUGUUACAUCUGGACGCUUGAACCGGUGAAGGUUGUCUAAGUUUCCUCAAUUCAAAAUAAUUGUCGCUGGCCCAUUUAUAAGCAAAACCGUGUGCUCAUGCUUGUAACAAGGAUACUAAGCUUGAACUAAAUUGUACGAGCAGGCAUAUAAACAAUACCCGGAUGCCUGUGGUGGAUCCCAGCUGAGAGAGGAGAGCUGAACACACCGUGUGUUCGACGAGAUUUUGUACUACAUUUUGUACGUAAUAAAAAAGUUGUUUGAUGAUAAUUUGUACCAAAAUCUUUUUCUCCCUUUCCUCAUAACUUGAGGAGGAGCCUAUAUGAAUUUGUGUGGAGCAAGGAACUGUCCAUAGACAUGUGCGUGCGUUCCAAAGAUGCCCACACAUAUAUACGGUGCUAUGCUCACACCGGCUCAAUUAAACAAAUACAUUACUUGAAAAUGUGUUAGCAGCCGGCUGACUAAUCAGCAGUAUAUUACUGGCUAGCCCAAGUUACUAUGUAUGUUUAUGUAGGGGUGCAAUUGAACUGCAUGGACUAUGCAUGGCUGGGGCACGUACAAGAUCAAUGGCAAAGCGUCCCACGUACUAGCAUUUGUGUGCAUUAGCAUGGCACAUGCACGUGACAGGCUUGGCGCAAGACUUUGCGGCCAACGCGUGCGCGCACGGCCCGGUCGACGCGAGUGUGAUUGGUAUGUUGGUGUACAAAUACGUACCCGAAUACCCGCAUACCGGCCGGCAAGGAGGCGCGUACUCAAAUACGUGUGUUUCGCUCGUAGACCGGCGUGUACGCCAAGAUGAUCAGAAGAGAUAAACACCACGGAGCUGAUAUAGAAUAACAGGAACGUUUUCCUUGAUCGGGCCGGUCGAACGGCCAACACCGCGAGCGCCCUCAGCUCUUUCCGUCUGCCUAUAAAUACCACNNNNNNNNNNNNNNNNNNNNNNNNNNNNNNNNNNNNNNNNNNNNNNNNNNNNNNNNNNNNNNNNNNNNNNNNNNNNNNNNNNNNNNNNNNNNNNNNNNNNNNNNNNNNNNNNNNNNNNNNNNNNNNNNNNNNNNNNNNNNNNNNNNNNNNNNNNNNNNNNNNNNNNNNNNNNNNNNNNNNNNNNNNNNNNNNNNNNNNNNNNNNNNNNNNNNNNNNNNNNNNNNNNNNNNNNNNNNNNNNNNNNNNNNNNNNNNNNNNNNNNNNNNGACGAGGAGCCCAGCCAGGAGGCGACGCGCCAUGGUGGCAGCGUCUACAAGAUGGAGAACGUGCGCAUCCAGGCUUAGGCAACGACACGCCGGCGGCGGCGCGCACGUUCGUUGGCGUCGAGGACCGGGCGAGCACGGCACCCAUGAGGAGGUGCCCACGACGGCAACAUCGGAGAGAUACGCUCUCGCCGGGCAACUCACACGGCAUGCCCGCACCCAGGAGGCAACGGCGCGCGUGCCUUACCCCUGGCGCCGGACCGACGUCCAACAGUCCAGAAACGGUGUUCUUUUGAGGACACGCCGACGGCGACAACGCGCAUCGAGGAGAAGGAUUUGGCUAUGCAACGCCAAGGUAUGAAGGAUCUUAUGUUUGUUAAAUUGCAGGUGGCGUAUGCAUGGGUCGUUCAUGCGUACGUACACACCCGAUACGGCAAAACUCGACAGUCCGACCACGCCGGGCGCUCGGCGGUAAGGAGGACUCACCCGGCUGGAGGGACGCGGCCAGCGUCGAGGGGACCUGGAGGGAACCCACGCAGAGAGGAAGAACGCGUCCGUUGCGGCGGCGCUCUCGACGGGCAACACACACGGCCGCUCUCGGCUGCACGCGUGCCGAGGAGGGCGCAGGGCAGCGAGUUGACGGCUGCCGCUAUGACGUGGCGGAGCCCGCGUGAAGGAGCAUGCCCAGUCGUUUGAGGUCAACAUAUACAUGUAUCUACUCUUCUUGUACGCAGGCCGUGAUACACAUACACAUACACAUACGCAUCGGGCUGCCGUUGGCGAGUAGCUCCAGGCGCACUCCUCACCGGUGACACCCACACGCCGGCAUGCCUUCAAGAUGAUGUGCCUCUCAUGUCGAACCCGCGGCGUCCUUUCAGGCCUGACUCACCACCGGCGACGAUGCACCGGGGUUGCCCUUCGUGUGUAGCCCUCCGGUGAUCCCUUCAUACUAGACUCCCCACCGGCGACGACGCGCCGGGGCUGCCGUCCAUGUGCUGCCCCUGGCGAUCCCUUCAACGCGUCCUUGUGUCGAUGCCCAGGCGAGCACGGCACACCUAUGAGGCUGUGCCCACUACGCUCUGGCCGGGCGUCGACGCGCGUGCCGUACCCUUGGCGCCGGACCGACACCCUACGGUCCAGAAGUAGAGCAACGCAGCGGUGUUCUCUCGGAGGACACGCCCGCGUCGACAACGCGCGCCGUGGAGAAGAAUUUGCCAUGCAACGCUAAGGUAUGGUCAUAUGUUUGUUCAGUUGCAGGGGGCACCACCAGGAGACGUACGCACGUGGGCAUUGACUUUGCACCUAGCCAAGAACUCACGCACGCACGAGCAGAAGAACGGAGGCAUCGGGAGGGGGAGGCCGAGGCCAGAACUCCCGACCCAACGCACACGGCCAUACAGGAGAGCUCACACAGGCGGCCGAGACUCCCGUACGCAGCCGGACGAGGCUCACCAGAGGCCAUCUCUUCUGCCAGCCUGCGCGCACACAUCGAAGGCCGGCGGUGAAGAUCGAUGUCAUGCUGAUCAUCUUGUCUCAAGCCUGUGCUGCACCCUCGAUCGACGACAACGACGAUGUGCCGGGACUGCCGCUCUUAUGCAGCCCCUGGUGCGCCCUUCUUUGAAGACGCCAGACGCCAGGGUUGCCGCUCAUGUGCAACCCGGGUGGUUCCUUCAUGCCAGACUCUUCACCGGCGACGAUGUGCCGGAAAACUGCCAGCGGAGACGGGAUGCACCACCGGCCAGGCUGCUGGUGCGCAGCUCAGGGGCACACCCCCUGAUCGGCUAAUGGGUGAUGAGAACUCAUGCACCCAUCCAUCCAUCAUGCACGCGGGUGGCAAGCAUCCCGGAGGAGAACGUCAGGGCUUGGCUUCCUUCUCGUGCAGGCGGCCGAGUGUAAGACAAUAGGCUUUGGGGAGAACCGGCACAACCCUCUAGGGGUGGCCUAUCAUAUAUAUAUAUAAUGAGGUGGUAUACAACGUUACAAUAUACACAUGUAAAUACAGUCUAACACCCUCCCUCAAUCUUAGCCACUUUCUAAUGAAUCUAGAAGGGUAAGAUUGCGCCUGCAAGUCUCAAACUGUGGCAAAGGCAAUGGCUUGGUGAAGAUGUCAGCAAGUUGAUCCUUGGAAGAAAUAAACUUGAUCUGUAGUUGCUUCUGAGAGACACGUUCACGCACAAAGUGAUAGUCAACUUCAAUGUGUUUCGUUCGGGCAUGGAAUACCGGAUUUGCAGAAAGGUAUGUAGCACCGAUGUUAUCACACCAAAGAACAGGAGGCUGUGAUUGGGAUAUACUUAACUCCUGAAGCAAGGACUGUACCCAGAUGAUCUCUGAUGUGGCAUUGGCCACAGCCUUAUACUCAGCCUCAGUACUGCUACGCGAGANNNNNNNNNNNNNNNNNNNNNNNNNNNNNNNNNNNNNNNNNNNNNNNNNNNNNNNNNNNNNNNNNNNNNNNNNNNNNNNNNNNNNNNNNNNNNNNNNNNNNNNNNNNNNNNNNNNNNNNNNNNNNNNNNNNNNNNNNNNNNNNNNNNNNNNNNNNNNNNNNNNNNNNNNNNNNNNNNNNNNNNNNNNNNNNNNNNNNNNNNNNNNNNNNNNNNNNNNNNNNNNNNNNNNNNNNNNNNNNNNNNNUUAUCACACCAAAGAACAGGAGGCUGUGAUUGGGGUAUACUUAACUCCUGAAGCAAGGACUGUACCCAGAUGAUCUCUGAUGUGGCAUUGGCCACAGCCUUAUACUCAGCCUCAGUACUGCUACGCGAGACAGUAGCCUGUUUCCGAGCACUCCAGGCAAUCAGGUUAGAGCCAAAGAAGACAGCAUAACCCCCCGUGGAUCGCCUGUCAUCCGGAUUGCCAGCCCAGUCUGCAUCAGAAUAUGCUGAAAGACAACCAGAGUCAGACGGCCGAAUAUGCAAACCAUGAGCCACCGUGAAACGAAUAUAGCGCAAAAUCCGCUUAACAGCAGACCAAUGAGUGUCACGGGGUGACUGCAGAUACUGGCAGACUCGGUUAACAGCAUAGGAAAUGUCUGGUCGCGUGAUCGUCAAGUACUGGAGCCCACCAACAAUACUCCUGUACUCUGUUGCAUCAGAAGAAGAAAGAAGCACACCAUCAACAGCAUUGAGCUUAUCAGUGGUAGACAUGGGUGUAGUCGUUGGUUUGCACUUAAGCAUCCCGGCUCGCUGCAACAAAUCCAGAGAGUACUUCUUCUGCGUCAUAACAAGGCCAGCAGCACGAGAAGUAACCUCCACACCAAGAAAGUAAUGAAGCUUCCCAAGGUCCUUGAACGCAAAAUCAGCACCAAGUAAGCGAACAAGCGCAGUAGCAGCCGACUGAGAGGAGCUGACCAAAAUGAUAUCAUCUACAUAGACCAACAAGUACAUAGUAACCUCAGGCCUUUGAAGAAGAAACAAUGAGGAGUCAGCAGUUGAUGAUGCAAAACCAUGAGCACGAAGAGCCAUUGCAAGACGAGCAUGCCAAGCACGAGGAGCCUGCUUCAGACCAUAAAUUGCCUUGGACAGACGACAGAGAUGAUCAGGGCGAUCCGGAUCAGAGAAACCCGGAGGCUGGCGCAUGUAAACCUCCUCCGCCAAGACACCAUGAAGAAAAGCAUUUUGAACAUCAAGCUGACGAAGAAACCAACCUCGAGUAACAGCCAGAGAGAGAAGAAGUCUGAUGGUAGUAGGCUUGACCACUGGACUGAAGGUGUCUUCAUAGUCAAGUCCAAAACGCUGUCGAAAACCACAAGCAACCAGACGAGCCUUAUAGCGCUCAAUGGACCCAUCAGAAUGCCUCUUCACUUUGAAAACCCAUUUGGAAUCAAUGACAUUUACCCGUGAUUGUGGAGGAACAAGAGUCCAUGUCUGAUUGCGAAGAAGCGCUUGAUACUCCUGCUCCAUGGCCUCUCUCCAAUGAGGAAUGCGCAUAGCAGCUUGAUACGUGUGUGGCUCAGAGGAUGGAUCUGCGAGAGCAGCAGACAUGCACGCCGCUAACCAAGCAACUGUGCCAUCGUGACGUUGCUUAGGCUGAAAAAUGCCACUCCGACUGCGCGUAUGUGGACGUAGAGCAGCAGCAGGAGCCGACGGAGGCGAAGGUGACGGAGACGUGACGGUCGCCGGAGAUGCAGGAAUCACCUCAGGCGAGCUCGGGACAGACGACUCCGGACUGCAUGGCGAAGACUGGCCCGACGACAGGGGCUCAGAGGCCAUGGGCGAACCGAGAGUGGGCGAGGCCAGCUCCGGUGACACCGGCCCAGACGGCCUUGGCGAGGCGAGAGCAGGCGAGGCCGGCCCUGAUGAGAAGGGCCCAGACACCCUGGGCAAGGCAGGGGUGGGCGAGGCCAGGCCUGGUGAUGACUGCCCCGACGCCCUGGGCGAGACGGGGACCGAGGAGGCCGGCCCAGUCGGCGGGGUUGCAGGGCGCGACGAUGGCGAAGGCAGCCCAGAAGCCAGAGGCGACCGGGCCAGGAUGUCGAUCGGCCGUGCAUGAGCACGGAAACCGAGGCCAUGCAGGGGCGCCAUGUGCUCCUCAUGCACAACAGAAGGUGCCGAGGAUGAAGGCGAUGGCGACGAAGAGGAAGAUGGCACUUCCAGAAUCUCCAAACGAGCCCCACGACCAGUGUCUGCACCAUGGUUAGGCAGCAAUAGAGGAGAAUAUGCAACAUCAUCAAAUUGGUCAGAAGCAACAGAGGAUGAAUGCAUGACAGGUGGCUCGGUAGUGGACACAGGGAGUUUGGCAAAGGGAAAAACAUGCUCAUCAAACACAACAUCCCGAGAGAUGUAGACACGAUUAGUGGGCACAUGAAGACAUUUGUAUCUUUUGUGAAGAGAGCUAUAACCAAGAAAAACACACUUCUUGGAAUGAAACUUGAGCUUACGCUUGUUAUAUGGACGGAGAUGGGGCCAGCAAGCACACCCAAACACCUUGAGAAAGGUGUAGUCCGGUUGUUCAUUAAGGAGAACUUCAAUGGGAGUCUUCAUAUUCAAAACACGAGUGGGAGUAUGAUUGAUGAGAAAACAUGCAGUGGUGAAAGCAUCACUCCAAAAACGAAACGGAACAGAUGCAUGGGCCAAAAGAGUCAGACCAGCUUCAACAAUGUGACGAUGCUUACGUUCUACUGAACCAUUCUGCUGAUGUGUAUGUGGACAUGCUAAACGGUGAGUGAUCCCAAGCGACUGAAAGAAGGAGUUGAGGUUGCGAUACUCGCCACCCCAGUCCGACUGAACAUGAACAAUUUUGUGCUUGAGAAGGCGUUCAACAUGUUUUUGGAACUGAACAAAAAUGUCAAACACAUCAGAUUUACGUUUGAUAAGAUAAAGCCAGGUAAAGCGGCUGUAAGCAUCAACAAAAUUGAUAUAGUAAUUAUGACCACUAACAGAAGUCUGAGCAGGACCCCAUACAUCUGAAAACACAAGUUCUAAAGGAUGUUUCACCUCACGACUGGACUCCGAAAAAGGAAGUUGAUGACUCUUCCCCUGCUGACAAGCAUCACACACUGCUACAUCUUUAUUACUAGACACACUAGGAAGCUCAUGACGACGCAAAACAUGCCGGACAAUAGGUGUGGCCGGGUGACCAAGACGAGCAUGCCACUGUGACGGAGAUACCCGAACUCCACUGAAGACGCGAGCGACGCCAGGAUGCUCCAGACGAUAGAGACCUUGGCAGAGCCGCCCACUAAGAAGAAUGUCCCUCGUGCCCCGAUCCUUAUUAAAAAGAUCAAAAGGAUGAAAUUCACAAAGCACAUUAUUAUCACGAGUGAGUUUAGGAACUGAAAGAAGAUUACGUGUCACAGAUGGAACUCGAAGAACAUUGCGAAGUUGAAGACUCCUAUUGGCAUGUCUAGUGAGAAGUGAUGCUUGACCAAUAUGAGAGAUGUGCAUACCUGCUCCAUUGGCGGUGUGGAUCUUGUCGGAGCCAUGGUAGGGUUCACGAGUGUGAAGCUUCCCCAUCUCACUGGUCAGGUGCUCUGUCGCCCCAGAGUCCAUGUACCAGUGGGGAUCAAUGGAGUAGGACUGAGUGUGUCCCUGUGGCUUCUGCGGCGGCGGACGAUCAGCCAUGGCGACCUGACGAGCAAAGUUGCGUGUAUCCUUCCCGUCAUUGCCGAGACCAAGAAAACCCCGCUGGAAGCGCUUGUGACACUUCGAGGCCCAGUGCCCAUCGCGACCACAAAGCUGGCACACACGUGGACCGCCAGCCCCUGGUAGCGUCGCAGUAGGAGGAGGGGCCGAGGCGGGUGGUGGUGACUGCCCCGAAGGAGCCCUGGAUAAAGCAGAGGAGCGACCACCCUUGGUGGCGGCGUUUGCCGAGAGGGCGCCGUUGCCCCUGGAUCGGCGCGUCUCGACUCAUUGCUCAGUAAGCAGGAGGCAUGAAAAGACCUCGUGUGCUGGCAUGGGCGUGGAGUUGCCUCUCUCAUUGAUGAUCUCGACUAGGGCGUCAUACUCCUCAUCAAGACCAUUGACAAUAAACGAGUUGAACUCGGAGUCGGUGAGGGGCUGUCCAAUGGAGGCCAGCGUGUCGGCGAGACUCUUGACUUUGUUGUAGAACUCAGUGGCGGUGGAGUCAAGCUUCUGACACUCCCCAAGUUGGCGACAGAGCCCAGAUACACGAGCCUGCGACUGUGCCGCAAACGAGCGCUCAAGAAUAGUCCAUGCCUCGUGGGACGUCUUGGCGAAGACAACAAGCCCAGCAACGGCCGGAGAGAGCGACCCCUGGAUGGAGGAGAGGUUCGCCUGAUCCUGCCCUGUCCAGACACGGUGAGCCGGAUUAUAGACCGGACCGUGCACGCUGUCAACCAGCGCAGGAGGGCAAGGGAGAGAGCCGUCGACAUAGCCAAGCAGAUAGUGACUCCCAAGAAGCGGAAGAACCUGCGCGCGCCAGAAGAUGUAAUUGUCCGACGACAACUUGAUGGUGAUGAGAUGGCCGAAGUGAAACGGCGGCGGAGGCUGCGAUCCCAUCGAGGAGACUGGCUGAGGUGAGACCACCGUGGAGACAGUCAGAGGGGCAGCCGGCGCGGUGACAGAGGGCGCGAUGGCCGCGGUUGACGCCGCGAAGCCUGCCAACGCGACGUCCUCCGCCACCAGCGGCGCAGUGGCCGAGGGCGCGACAGCCGCGGUUGACGGGGCGGCGGCGGUGUGGGCCACAAGCGCCUGCCCGGGCGAAGUAGCAGCCGGCGGGAGCGCGAAGAGGGAGCCGACGCUCCGUGUCCCGAUCGGCGCCUGAAAGGAGGCGGCAUCCAGCGGCCUCGAGAGAAGUGCUGCGAGGGAGGCCGGCAGAAAACCGGUGGCGGUGGAGCCGGACGCAGCGGCGGACGUCAUAGCAGUCGGGCGACGGCGGCGGCGGCGGCGGUUUAGGGUUUUUAGGCGGAAGCGGACGUAACCUAGCGUGAUACCAUGUAAGACAAUAGGCUUUGGGGGGAACCGGCACAACCCUCUAGGGGUGGCCUAUCACAUAUAUAUAUAAUGAGGUGGUAUACAACGUUACAAUAUACACAUGUAAAUACAGUCUAACACCGAGAAGGAAAGACGAGUAGGCAACGCAUCAGGAACGCAUGAAGUUGUGCGGCGAGAUUGACGUCGUGCCGACCAUCCAAGGUGAGAACCAAGUUUGAUCUCCCUUCCCUCUUCUCUCUCUACAUCCGAUGAUGGCGGCAAGAGCUGCGACUGCACGGCCGGAGAUGAAGCCGGUUGCUGCCGUCGGCUCUUGAUGCUUUGAAGACGACGACACCGGGGUUGCCUCUCCUGCGCAGCCCCCGGCGAUCUCUACAUGUCGGACCCAUCAUCGGCAACGACGCGUCCGUCGGCCUUGGAGAUGACGACGCCCAGGUUGCCUCUUGUGUGCAACCCCCGGUGAUUCCUUCAUGCCGGACUCACCACCGGCAACGACGACGCCGGGGUUGUCUCUCGUGUGCAACCCCCGGUGAUUGCUUCAUGCCGGACUCACCACCGGCGACGACGAUGCCGGGGUUGCCUCUCAUGUGCAGCCUAUGUCGACCCUUCACGCCGGACCCAUCACCGGCAACUCCCGUGAGGAGGAGGAUGACGCUCCGGGCCCUAGUAGCCCCCCCGGUGCAUUCUCCAUCGGCGACUCCCGCGAGGCUGACAACGAUAACAUCGGGGCCGUCUAGAACCCGGUGCACUCUCCAUCGGCGACUCCCGCGAGGACGGCGGUGACACGCCAGGGCUGUGUCGCCACCGAUGCACUCUCCACCGGCGACUCCGGCAAGGACGACGAUGACGCGUCGGGGCCUUGUAGCCCCGGUGCACUCUCCACCAGCGACUCCCGUGAUGAUGAUGACAACAUGUCGGGGCCAUGCAGCCCCUGGUGCACUCUCCCCCGGUGCACCCUCUGCGGCAGACUGACGACAUGCCACGGCUGUGCAACCCGGGAGCACUCUUCGUCGGCCACACUCACAUGUCGGCCUGCCUUGAAGACGACAACGUCGGGGUUGCCCUUCGUGCGCAGACCCCGGCGAUUCCUUCAUGCCGGACUCACUAUCGGCGACGACGUGGUUGGACUACCGCUCGUGCGCAGCCCCGGCGCGCCCUUCACUAUUAACGACAAUGUGUCGGCGGGGUGCCAUCUACACCUCCGCCGACAUCGAGCGCCUCAAAGAGGGGCGUCGUCCAUGCCUUCGCCGAUGCAGAGCUUGGCCAGGGUGACGAUCCAUGUACAUCGCCACCACCAUAGAGCCCGUGCAAGACGGGUGUCAUCUACAUUGUUGUGGACACGACCCAUCGUUUGGCUUCGUUCCCACCGACUCUCGGCUCGACAAGGCUGCUGGCUACACCGACACGCUUAUUGAGUGGGCGAUACUGCCCAAGUCUACUCCAACACCCACACCGAUGCACAUCAUCAACAUUGUCCUAACGCCGGCGAGACGAAGCUAUACUCCACCGACACGUCUUUAUCCGAUGAAGCAAACCACUACUUGAUAUGCCAACGAGGCAAUGUCAAGUCAUCCAGUCCGACACCGACAAGGCGGACAUCACUAGGCCGGGCACCGACGAGGCGAAGGCCGCCCACAUCUUCAUCAUCGGACAUCGACACGGCGGAGGGGAAUGGCUAAGCAUAGCCGGGGCGAUGGGCAUAUCGCUCUCCCCUUCCACUUCAUCACCAUCUACACCAACCUCACGGAGAAGACUAGACCAGAAGACGACGACCAUUGCAACAGCUUAAUUGGAGGUGGUUCGUGAGCUUGACUCGCGGACAUAAUUAAGCAGGAGCUUUCCGAGGCCCUGUGAACCAGAACCUCACAUCGCCGAAGUCAUUUUGGCCGCGCCAGCAGGCCAUGGAGCGCACUCUUAAUAGGGACUUUGUAAUUUUGUUUCUCGACACGAGAUUAAUAAAAAUACAUAUUUCCCUAUGUCUUUUCUUUGUGUACUUAGUACACUGGCACGCCCGCACUAUUUUUUAUUUUUUUCGUGUCAAACACCGUGAUGUCGAAGGCAUUGUCACAGAUCAGUUUCGCUGUCUCAUCUGGACGCUUCACCAACCUGAGCAUUUGCAGAUGCAAUGUAGCUUGUCUUAGUCUCCUCUCCAUCGUCAGAUCGAAAGAAGUCGUCCCUCAGGCCCAUUUCUAAGCAAAAUCGUGUACAACAAGGAUACUAAGCUUGAACUAAAUUGUACGUGCACGCAUACAAACUAUUUCCGGAUGCCUACCAUGCGUACCAAUGAUUGUUCGUUUGUGACCUGCAUAUAGAAAGCUCCUUCAUAUCAUGUGUCAAGCUAUUUGCGAUGGAUCUAGCGUUGUGGAAUGAAUUACUACUUAUCGAAGGAGAGCCGAAUGCCAUUGCCAGACUGUGACUUAAAUAGCUUUGGUAUGGCACUCAUCGGUACAUUGCGGUACUUACAAGAUACUGGUGCAUGUGGAGAAGGAUAUUUUGAAUACAACAUUUCUUUGGCGGGAUGCUUUUCAAUACAACAAACUGCUACUGCUAAAAUUAUUUAACUAAGAAGUGUGUAUCGUGUAUCUGUACGCAUAUAGACCGACCUUCCACUUGAUCGCAACAAAAGUCAUAACUCGCUGAGUUUCCGGUCAUUGAUCUUAGUACUCCCUCCAUCUUAAAGGUGUCGCCACCGCCUCGUCUUUCUGAGUAUGACAUAAACCCUAAACGAACUCAAGAAAACACCAAGAAACGGAGUGAGAUCCCUUCCUCCAGCAAGCUAGGCCCGGGGUCACCCGUGCCUCCAUGGCCCUAGGACCACCGGAGAUGAGGCGGACCACAGGCGGUGUCGGCGGGUGGCGCAGGAACCGUAGGUUCUUGCUUCAAGAAGAGGCGGCGGCGACUGCAUUGCACGCACGUCCUACAAGAAAGCGUUAGGUAGGUGUGAUUGAUCUGGGGUGGGCUACUUAUAGAUAGCUAGAUCUGAAUAUGAGAGAAAAAAAAUGGAUUUUGACCAUGGUGCACAAAGAAUUGAGUGGAAGACAAACGUAAUCAUUGUUGCUAUUUAUGCGUUGGUGAUUUUCAUAAGCCGAAAAUUCAAAACUAACUUUCUUCGUUCACUUGGCUGAAAUAGUUUUGCUACUGGCCUUCCUAUGAGCUAAAGAGUAUCAGCCACCAUGUGCUUGUUUGUAUUUGAUCAAAAGGAGCACCAACGACCUAUCACCGUGCCGGACAGUAGGGGCGCCACCGUCCUCGAUGAGCUCCCCAAGUUCAUAAUCGUUCAAUUCAUCUUUUUUAGGGGAACAUAAUCGUCAAAUUCAUGUCUUGCACCUAACGUAGUAGCCUUUUGGGCACACCACUUCGUAAGCUCACAGUUUUGGGCCACCAUGUGUGACAGUUGUUUCAAAGACGUUUUUGGGUAAACCGUGUGCUUUGAAUGGUCUUAUUUGACCCGAUAUGCACUAGUAGUAGAAAGCAGGGCAUGCCAAAGCCUUAUAGAUUUAUACUUGCUAAACCUACUUUAACUAGUAAUCUAACACCACACUAACAAAGACACUCAUGGCAUGCAAGCCUACCAUGGCACAUCCAAACUUUCCUAGUUACCGUUUAGAUUCAAACACACCUGCUUGCUCUAACUCGUACAAGCCGGACAUGAAGUCCCAGUAACACAACAUGGACAUUUUCACGAGAACUUUAAGUUCGUGAGGAACGCGGCCAGAGUCUUGCACCGGAAGAAGAAAUCCUCGGUUUUGAUGAAGAUUGAUAUAUCCAAAGCGUUCGACUGUCUAUCAUGGGAAUUUCUCUUGGAGAUCCUCAGAGAGUCAGAGGCUUUGGUAACAGGUGGUGUUCCUGGAUAUGCGGUCUUCUGUGCUCGGCGUCCUCCUCAGUUCUCAUCAACGACGAAACCAGUGCUCCGUUCGGCCUGGUGAAGGGAGUCAGGCAGGGAGACUCCUUGUCGCCGGCACUCUUCAUUCUGGCCAUGGACGCGCUGCAAGGCAUGAUUGACUGGGCCGGGUGCAAUAAUCUGCUGGCUAGCCUUGGUUUGGGCAUCAGAAUCCCGCGGGCCUCUAUCUUCGCCGAUGACGCAGUAUUGUUUUUCACGCCAGCGCCGUCCGACCUACAGGUGAUCUCAGCCAUGCUGCAGCUUUUUGGGGAGGCCUCGGGUCUGAAGAUUAAUUUUGCCAAAAGCUCCAUCACUUGCAUCAGUUGCGAGGAGGACUGAGCUAGGGUGAUUGCGGACUUCUUUGGGUGUCAGCAGGUUGGCUUUCCCAUAAGAUACCUGGGACUACCAUUGCCAAUCUACAGAUUAAAGAGACAAGACAUAAUCCCACUGAUCGACAGAUUCUCUAGCAAGAUGAAAGGAUGGAAGCCCAAACUUCUGACCCCUGUUGGAAGGCUAGCCUUGAUGAGUUUGGUGCUUAUGGCCUUACCGAUUCACUUUCUGACUGUCUUCGCGCCUCUGGUAUGGGCGCUCAAAAUCAUAGACAGGAGAUGCAGAGGCUUUGUGUGGAAAGCAGAGGUGGAUAUCAAUGGGGGGGGGCACUGCUUAGUCCCAUGGGCUCACGUGCGUAGACCUAAGGGAUGGGGGGGACUCGGCCUUCUCAACUUGAGGAAUUUUGGGACGGCCCUUAGAUGUAGCUGGAAGUGGCUCGGAUGGAAUCCAGGGAAUAGACCAUGGCAUCUUCUUCCUGAUCAACAGGACAAGGACUAUGAGGUCAUGUUUGAUGCUGCAAAUCGGGUGGUGCUGGGGAACGGCACAGUUGCAAGAUUCUGGACGGAUAAUUGGGCUACGGGUGGCAGGAGUAUAUCGGCCUUAGCCCCUGCACUAUUUUCCUAUGUUAGACUCCAAACUCUCAGUUAAAGAAGUGUUGCACAAUCACAGGUGGAUUAGGGACAUCAGAGGUGGUCUGUCUACUCAGGCACUGGCACAAUACUUAGUGGUUUGGGAUAUCGCCCAGGCCACCACUCUUUCAGAUGAAACAGAGGAUCAACUCAUGUGGAGGCUGACGGAGCAUCACCAGUUCACGGUGAGCAGCGCGUACAGGAUGUUCUUCAUGACCGGAACCCCUUUUGCCUGCAAUAAGCCUAUUUGGAAGUCAAAAGCUCCCCCUCGUUGCAAAUUCUUCAUGUGGUUGGUUAUUCUGGGCACUGUUUAGUCCCAUGGGCUCGCGUGCGUAGACCUAAGGGAUGGGGGGGACUCGGCCUUCUCAACUUGAGGAAUUUUGGGACGGCCCUUAGAUGUAGCUGGAAGUGGCUCGGAUGGAAUCCAGGGAAUAGACCAUGGCAUCUUCUUCCUGAUCAACAGGACAAGGACUCUGAGGCCAUGUUUGAUGCUGCAAAUCGGGUGGUGCUGGGGAACGGCACAGUUGCAAGAUUCUGGACGGAUAAUUGGGCUACGGGUGGCAGGAGUAUAUCGGCCUUAGCCCCUGCACUAUUUUCCUAUGUUAGACUCCAAACUCUCAGUUAAAGAAGUGUUGCACAAUCACAGGUGGAUUAGUGACAUCAGAGGUGGUCUGUCGACUCAGGCACUGGCACAAUACUUAGUGGUUUGGGAUAUCGCCCAGGCCACCACUCUUUCAGAUGAAACAGAGGAUCAACUCGUGUGGAGGCUGACGGAGCAUCACCAGUUCACGGUGAGCAGCGCGUACAGGAUGUUCUUCAUGACCGGAACCCCUUUUGCCUGCAAUAAGCCUAUUUGGAAGUCAAAAGCUCCCCCUCGUUGCAAAUUCUUCAUGUGGUUGGUUAUUCUAAGGAAGUGCCUGACGGCAGAUAAUCUUCAGCGAUGAGGGUGGCCAUCCAACGAAAUCUGCCCGCUUUGCUUGAUACAUCCCGGGGACUGCACGCAUCUGUUUCUCUCCUGCAGCUUCACGCAGCGGCUCUGGACGGCGUUCCAGGGGUGGACGGGUGUUUCCUUCCCUACGCCGGCUAGCAGUUUUGAGUGCUCCGAGUCAUGGUGGCUAGAGGCGAGAAAAGCAAUCCCGAAGCAGAUGCGCCGAGACUUCGACACCAUUGUCAUUCUCAUCCAUUGGAGGAUCUGGAAGGAGCGGAGCGCUCGAAUUUUCCAGCAGACGGCUUGUAAUAUUGACAGGGUCCUAGACCUCAUUAGAGAGGACUUAGGUGUGUGGAGAUCUGCGGGGUGUGUAGCAGACCUGGGUAGCUGAUUUCCUGCGUGGUUAUCUUCUACGGCCCCGCUUUGCUUGGGGCUAACUCUUGUACUAACAGUUCAUGACUCCUGAACUGUGAGGCUCCUUUGUACCACUUUCUUUCUUCUAAUAAAGAUCGGCCUCGGCCCUUCGACAUUCUUAUAAAUGAAACCUAAUGGAAUUCAGAUUUGGUAGCUUUCCAAGCUGUAUGUGCACACAGCCACACGAGGCCACUCACGUAAAUAAACACAAACUAGAAAAUCAGGGCCACGUGACAAGUUUGAUUAUUUCCAACAAUGUCUUUAACUAGAAAAUCUUGAAGCCUUCCAACUAAGAACUAUUCUCUAGCAGCUAAUCGAAAGAAAUAAAACUCGCAAACCACAAGACACUGACUCGUGGCAGAGACGCUUAUGUGACCUGCUCAGUCGGACUGCACCACUGCGGCGCCACCUGCUAAAGUAAAAAAUGAACUAUAACCGGUAACUAUUGAACGGGCAGUGGAAUAUACGCUUCUCCCUUCGCCAGUGCAGACACAUGCACUUAAUUAUAAGACAUUUGGAACAGUUCAACUGGAGGGCUCGGCACACGGACAGAAGGCACAAGCAAUUGAAUUUACUCUAGCGGGAGUUGACCACGUGACGUGCGGGGCCCUCAUGCAAAACAAAGUAGACGAUGAAAAAGCUAAGGCAGCGAGUGCACACUGGAAACAACGCUACAGCUGGGGUAUAGCAAUGUGAGCCUGUAAUGUUGUUAUCUCAAGUUCCCUGAUACCUACCGUGCCUAUCAUAUCUAUGUUUGUUUUUUGUUUGAUGACUGUGUAUAGUUUCCUCGUAUGUAGAGACGCUUGUCAAGAAGCUAGCAUCCAGAACCAAACUACUCAUGGAAGCAUAGCCCAGCUUCUAUACCAGUUACUUAUAUAGCGUUGGCACCUAUUCGUUGGUACUGUACGGACCCUCCAUAAAAGACAUUUCUGGCCAUGUAUGCACAUGGGCCAGUAAAUCGAAAUUUCCAAUAUAGAUAGCGCCCAUCAGUGUGCGCGCAAGCAUAAGAGAGAGGGGAAGCUCUUAUUAUUAUGAUGGUUGAUGUGAGUUUUGAAGAGAUGGUGCUUGUAAGAUACAACUACAAAUCAUUAUGGUCUUUCAGUAAGUAGUGCUAGAUAGACACACCACGUUACCACACGUAGAGACACGAGAGCACUGCACUUAAUUACUACAAAAUAUCAAAAGCACCACCGCAAACUUAGUAGUACGAGUACACGAUGUGUCAGAAUUAAUUUGCAUGUGUACAACUUAUCAAGUCUCCGGAUUGAACACUCACAACUAGGCUACAAACAUGCCCAUCCGUCAAUGAGAUAUAAUCUCUCGCUAAAUAUUUUUAGGAUCCAUAUGAGCAUCCCUAUGAUUUUCUUGUGUGCCGUUAAUAUUUUUUAUCAUAACUCAAGGUAAAUUCUACAAUCCAAAUGAUGUGUCCUCACGAUGUGCGCACAUGCCCAAAGAAGUUUGAUUGCAAUUGAAUAAAAAGAGUUAGAAACCUUAGAUAUAGAUGGUUCAUGAGCUAGGGUUGACGAUCAAGUUUGAGAAUGCCCUAUUUUCAGUUGAUAUGUGUGGUGAAAAAGUUUUCGGUCUUCUUGUUUGAAAAGGAUCCACAUAACUUUUUGUAAGUGACUACCAACACUUGGAAUCAUUAUUAGCCUAAGAUCUUGCAAUUGGCAUUACUUAAUUAAUUUCGUAACAUGGUAGCACGAGUUGGUCCAUUGUCCACACAUCAUAUGUUUUGUCACUGGAAUGGGCCUUAGAGCAUCUUAAAUAGAUGUGAGAUAGUUCUUGUUACAAUAAUGUGAAAGAGCAUAAACGAGAAAGAAAACAUUAUCUGUAAAAUAACCAACACCCCAUGCACAAGCUCCAUGGUGGAAAUGUGGAACAAACAUCGAAGACAAUUUGUAGCACGGCAGUUGGGCUCAUGCGAGAUUCUGGGCCAUAGGAUUGCGUCGAGUUCCAGACAUGUAUGUGUGUGUGUGCGCGUGUGUGUUUAGGGCUUAAUCCCCUGCAAUUUCUUGCAUGUGGAAGCUUUUGCACAUUCCAGCCAUCUCACCACCCGUGGCUUUUAUUUUGCCUUUCAAAUUUGAAUCUAUUGUAACAAUUGAACCAAAAGUUCUUUUUUAUUUUGUUUGCAUAUUCAUGUUCCUUGCGACGAGGGUUUUGAAACAAGGCGACUCUUGAAUGCGUUUAAGAAGUUUAAAAAAAUUACCAAGUUUCAACUACUAAAACUUUGUAGGAAUGAAUGGUAAAUUUACUAACUUCACAAAAUUUAACUUAAACUCUAAACCCUAUGAGAAAAUGAAACUUGGUACAAUUCAGUAAAUAGUUAGUAUUACAACUCUCAAGUUUUAAUAUUUUAAACUGAUUAAAAAUUUAAAAGUGUCAAAAUGUAUUCAAGAGUGGUCUUGUUCCAAAGUUUCUCAUCCCAACGAACACAAAUAUCCAUUGUGCGGGAAGCCUGUCCAUGAUGCACGCUCAAUGUGCGGAAAAAGCCAUGCUCUGGGCUUCAAGGUCAUGGUCGGUGUGAUAGGUCGUAUUCGCGUAUGCCCAUCUACACAAGUCAAAUGACGUGUGCCACCGCUGCUUGAACGACAUGCACUACCGUCAUUUUGUUCAUGCUCUAGAAGAUGUAGCUAUAAUGACACCUCAUGAACUAGAUCUAGGGCUUCUAGAGUUUAGCACAAAAGAGAAGGACGCCCACACACACGAAGGGAUGCCAUUCAUUGCUAACUUUGAAGAGGAAGGGGGUAACACCGCUAGCUCUGAUGAGAAUGAAGAACAUCAGAGUGGUAAGAGGCAUGUGGAUCUCCCAUGCGAGGAAAGAGGUGGGGUUAUCGGCACUUGCUCAAUCAUAUCAAUGACAUGGAACGCUAGAAUUAAAUAGAUAGAGGGAAGGCGUGAAGGACAUUCAAUCUAAAGAAUGGGGAGGCGACCAUCGCAAAAUGAUUCAAUAGACGAGUAGGGACAGAAAAAUACCAGAUAUGUACGAAGAAAACAGUUCAACAAAUUGUUGUUUAAUUGUCAAUGGCGUCUAGUUAUCAUCAAUGGGUGUAGAAAACCUUUGAAUGAUCUAUGUCAAAAACUCGUGUCUGUGAUGAGCCAUGUGAAUGACGGGCUUUUGGUCUUCCAAGACUGAUGUUAGUGUUACAACAAUGUAACAUAGAGUACUAUUCCCUUCAUUGCAUAAUUUAGUGCAGUUGGAUUUUUUGGAAAAUCGAAACUCAUAGAGUUUGACAAAACUAAAUAAAUACAAUAUAAACGUAUCUAAUGAUAUUUAUUGCUAUCAUAGGUGUAGAUAUUUUUUCAACAAUUAAAUUUGAUCAAAAUUGACAAAGCCUGGCUAUUAAUUGCAUAUAUAUAUGCACUAUAUUAUGGAAAUGAUGGAGUAGUUAUUAGUAGUUGUACAUGGGGAAAAUAUGGGGGAAAUAUGCACUAUAUUUUAAAACGGUGAAAGUAUUGUUAAGCCAUAGUAGGGAUUUUUUUUUGUGCUUGUUGAAAUGGUUGAAAAUGUGAUAUAUUCAGAUUCUUGUGACCGAUCCAAGUUAGCCCAAGAAGAACUAGAUUUUAUUGCUAAGUCGCAACACACACUAGAUUAAGACCGAAAAUCUUGCCUCGGAACCACAUCAUACCGUUGCAUAUCAUUCCGUCACAAAAACAAUUCUUCAGGGGUGGUCAAAUAUGGAGAUUUCGUAGAAUAGCUAGAGAGGAGCCGAGUCAUCAUGUUACGUCUAUCACAGGUACCUACGGUGGCUAUUUCUCCAAUUAUCCUGUCUUCUUUCUCCUUCUUCAUGUCAUACAUGUAGAUGUGAUUGUCCGGGUACGUAUCAGGUUUGACGUAGUAGAUGCAAUUGCCAUUGAUGGACGGGAACUUACUGGCAUUAACAGACACACACUUAUAAACACCGACAAAGAUGGCACUGUCUUCGCCGAUGCUCUUCACCGGCUCGAUUGCAUUCGUAGCGACGUCGACCUUAAAAACUCCCUUGCCGCCAUUUUCACGGUUAAUGACCAUCAACACUUCUCCGCCGGACUGUACCAGAAAGCCAUCAGAGAACAUCUUGGCAUGAUUGGAAGAGAACUUCUUGAGUGGAUCAUCUAAGAACGGGUGCCCCAUGAGUUCGUAGACGCCACCGACCAUUGCUUGCCGAAUCAGGCGACGAAAGACGCCGUCCCUGUUGUGUACGGACAUAAACGCGCCGCAGGGGCUCGCUCUGUACAGGUCACCACGUACGUCGCAGAUGACGAGGAGGGGCGGAGAACCGAAGACGGCGGCGGAAUCUUUCAUUAUUUGAAAAGACUUGGACGAUGCUAUGAAACGGACGAGGUGGCCGGUGAAAGGAUUGAGGACAUACACAGCGCCAGGGCCAUUCCUUUCCACCAGAACAAGAAAGCCGCCGUGUGUCGCGGCGACGUGAUGGUAUUUGCGGAGGAGCGGCAUGUCCUUGCGAAGGAAGCGGCCGGUGGAGGUGUUCACGAAGUGAAGGGCGGUGCUGCGGUGGUUCGUGCAGAAGACGAUCCACCGGCAGGGCCGAAAGCGCAGGUCCCAGGUGUUGGUGGGGUCGUCCGUGGCCUGGCGCCAGUCGCGGCAUACGGCGCGAAAGUCCAUGUAACAGUCCACGUCGUUUGUGGCCACCAAGCAGUCGGCGAUGCGGCCGACGAGCUCCGGCGGGAGAGAGGCCCAGCACGGGGCUCGGCGGAUGUCAUGCAUGGUCGUAAAGCAGGUUUGACAGAUCUGAUCUGGUUGUCUGGCUAAUUUUGCUCUAGUUUUGAAGGACGGGGUUGGAUCCGUAAUAGCACAGAGAAAAGACAGACAGAGUCCGGUUUUGUGUCUAUCUGUAACUCCGGCGUAGCGUAGCAAAGGGGAGUCGGACGUGGCAUGGAGUACUGACACGGCCGUCCUUCGUAAUUUACUAGCUAUGCCCGUGCGGCGGCACGCCGCACCUCAUCGAUACUUUGCGUUGAGAUUUCAUAAGUGGUAAAGUGGAGACCCAUGUGUUGUUAAUUUUUUGAUUGUUUGAUUGAAUGCUAGAUUGGCCAUCAUUUCUUUGCUCGGGCGUUCAAGAAUCGUUGGUGUAUAACUGGAAUGAUCGAUUCUAUGAGACCAUACCUUUGGUUUUUUUCCUUUAAGUCUGAUGUGUUAGUAUUUCUUUUCUUUAUUAUUUUUAUUACACACGGGUGGUUGCAUAUGUAAAUGAUGGAAAACUUGGAUGGAUAUAUUAUAGUGGAGUUAAGCUAGGAUAGACGAUAAGGCAUCCUGAAAAGCAAGAUUUUAUUACAUAAAAACAAUAGAUAGAUUCCAAGGAAGUAACUAAAUUUCAAUACCAAGCGCCAAAAUUGUUGAUUCGGUGAUCUUUGAUGAUUCAGAUUAAUUUGUACUGCCACUUGCCAGAUUAGUGCCAGCGGAGAAGUUGUAAAGAGCUUGUGCAAACUCUUGGAGGAGGUCAUGUGAUGGCUCUUAAAAGUAAAACAACAUUGGUCAGAAUUAAGUUUAGAGCCAUAUCAUUCUUAAAUUAAACAUCAAAUUUAAUCAACACAUCAUAAAACCUAAAUAAAACAUCUCAUCGGUUCAAUUUAAUGUAAAACAAUAUGAUAUUUUAGUUCAUCAUAUUUUAAGCAAUUUAUGUAUAAAACAGUGCAAAACAGAAAAUAUGAACUUAAAAUGCACUGUCAAUAGGGGGAAAAUGACAGAAAUAUUUUGGCCCAAAAUACCCAUGGCAGCCCAUUAGAGAGCCCAAUCCAGUUGUUGAAAACCAGAAAUAAAUAAAUCAUUUCUACUGGGCAGAGACAACUUAGCCGGAGCCCUAAAAGAUUUUGGGUAUUCCUACCGUGUGUGUACUUCUGAUCCACUUUCUUCUAAUUUGCUAAUCCAAAACGGAAUCAGUACUAAAAUGUGAGCAACUUUAAUGAAACAGACAUAAAGUGAGUAUUAAUUCUUAACUUGGAUUAAUUAAAAUUGAUGAACAUAAUUCGCAAAGCUCUAGCAACUUAGGGCAUGUUCGGAUGUCCCCUAGCUUCGCUAGAUCCUCGAAUCUCGCUUCUGUUUCCCGAUGCCAGCUUCUUCGCGGAUUGCAAUCGAUGGAAAACCGUUCGCUUCGCUCACUUCCGCUUCUAGUUCACGCCAGCAGGCCAGCCUGCCUGGGCGGGCUGGAGCCCAGUCGGCUCAAGAGGUAGACAGGAGGGGAGAGAGAGUGGGCUUGGCCCAGAUCGGAGGGAAAAGGCAACGAACCGUUACGUGAAUCACUUGGCGGUGGCAUUACUUCAUAAAUUAGGCCAACUCCAGAUCUCACUUUUCCUGGGACGACCAGAAGUGGUGUUCCAGUUUGAGUAAAAUUCAUCGGUGGUCCCUCAACUUGCGUCGCCCGGUCACUUUGGUCACUGUACAAAAGAACUCACGCAAUACGGUCACUGUGUACGGCAAACAGUGAAAAUACGGUCACUGUGCGUUGUAGACGCAACGUACGCCGCCUGUUGACCACCUGUUGACCGUCCGGCUCCCAGUCCGCGCGCCAGGUGUCGCGAGGAGGAGCGACCCGAUGGCAUAUUUGUAGCCCACCCCCCAAGUUAUCAGACAGAUCCCCCAGUCCUCCCCCGUCUCCACCUCCCCUGUUCGAGACGAUCAAACCGGCGGAGAAGGCGACGGAGGUGCGGCAUGGUGCGGCGUGCUCGUCGCCGUGGUGCGGCGUGGUCGUCGCCGUGGUCGGCGUGGAGGGGUUUCUUCUCGCGGUGGUGAAGAGGAGGCGCCGUCGCCAUGUCUCCUGUUCGUCGCCCCGACGGUGCCCCUGCCCCUGUUUACAGUAAGUGAUGAUUCCUGCCGUAAAUCCUCUUAUUUCUCUUCGAUUCUUGUUUGAUAGGGCUGGCAUUGUGUUCGCCUAUGAUAUGUGCUAGUAUUCGUCGCGUGGAUGGCAAUUUAGGUUUAGGGUUUUUGAACCCAAUUUGUCUGAUAGGAUUUCUGAUAGGGUUUUUUUCUUGUCGAAAGGGUCUAAUUUUCAUCGAUUCCACAUGUAAUAGGCUUAGGUUUCUGGCAGUUGUGCCCGUAUGUGCACCUUUGUUCGAAUAGGCAUAUGUUUUGGAGCUUUGGUGUAUGGAGAACAUUGGGGAUUUCUAGUGUUGUACUGUUCAAAAAGGUCAUUACUUGUUCAAUUUUGAUGUGAUCAAUUAUGCUUUGUUUUUGCAGGAGCAAGAAGUGAGAAGUUCUCAGUGCUGUUUCAUCAUGGUGGUUUUUUCAUGGGUGAAGGAAGCAACAGGGCUUAUGUUGAUGGGAAUACAGUUUGGUAUGACAGUUUGGAUAAGCUCACCUGGUCUCCAAUAAUGGUGGAACAUAUAGUAGAAGAGAUUGGAUGGGAGAUGGCAGGCAGGUUGAAGGCAUAUUAUCAAAUCCCAAUACUUGACAUUACUCAGAAUUCUUUGAGACAGAUCAGAUCUGAGGCAGAUACUGAUCAAAUGAUGACCUUUCUGUCUAUUGGGCAUCAUUUCUUCAGUAUUUAUCUUGAUCAUGAUGACACCUUGAUUACUAAGAAGGUUGUUGAUGAUGUGCUCCAAUUUCCAAGGGCUGAACUUCCACCAGUGUGUAGCCUUUCAAAAGAUGGUACUAAUCCUCAUGGUAGCAAGCCUGCAAAUUCUGAAGAAGACUGCCCUAUACCAAUUCAGGUUGUGUAUCCAAACAAUGAGCAUCUACUAGGUACGCAACAUAUUCCAUCUCCCAAAACCAGAAAUCACACCCAGUAGCCUGCAAACCAACAGCAAAAAAUCAAACUUUGACCAAAAAAAGGGCAAAACUGCUGCCAAGAACAAAAUCAACUGAUCCUCUGUGUUACUUACAGAGUGAUUGGGACAUCUAUAGAACACCCAGCCCUCGUGAUCCUCUGUGUUCGAAACGUAGUACCUCACUGUCGCCUGGCAGCGAGGACAUGGGAUGAGUGGCACCACCACUGUCCGGCCGCGGAGACCAGACAGGGCAGAACUAGCAGAAGACAUGGCGCAGUGGUCGUCGGGGGCGAGGGCAGGAUGGGCGCGCGGCGGCGAGAGGGCAGGAUGGGCGCGCGGCGGCGAGAGGGCAGGAUGGGCACGGCGGCGGCGAGAACUAGGGAUUUGGAGGGAAGAAUUGGGGAUUUCUAUCUAAACGGCUUUUUUUACAAAAACGACCUCCCGCAAAUGGGCACUUAAACGUAAAUCCUCUGCCCGCCUACUUGGAGCCCGUGGACUGGUCAAAAUUGCGGCGUACGUUGCGUCUACAGCGCACAGUGACCGUAUUUUCACUGUUCGCCGUACACAGUGACCGUAUUGCGUGAGUUCUUUUGUACAGUGACUAAAGUGACCGGGCGACGCAAGUUGAGGAACCACCGAUGAAUUUUACUCUUCCAGUUUUUUGCACGUCGGGCAUCCUCAGAUCUGGGAAGCUAGCUUCCUGGAGUUUGACUGUUCGGUGCAACUCCUCCACAGAUUUAGAGGAUUUGGAAGCUAGGCUGCUGCCGAACAGUCCCUUAGUAAGAUCAACAUUAACUAUGCACAAUUACCAUGAAACAGUAGCAUGCAUAUUGGGCUAACCAGAGGCUUACAUAUCCAACUCUAAAUAUGAUUCGCUAAAUAUGUGAUUGACCUGCCAAUCAAGAAUUAGUGUUGUAGUGCAAGCAAAUAGGUGUAUGAUACCAUUGUUAGUACUCCAAAUUAUUGAAAGAUCAUGUGAAGAUUUGCACACUCAAGGACAAGUGUCUUUAUUUGGUUCCAUUGUCCAUGUUGUUGAACUACCAGUACUAACUCUGAGACUUAUAUGGCCCUCUGUUUGGAACGCAAUAUUUUUUUCUGGGGAAUGUCAGUGAGUCCGGACGGGUUGCUUGGAUUCGGCAAGAGAGCCUUUUUAUACGCCUAUACGGCCGUGGGCGAGUCGUGCACGAUACAUGGUAGGGGUUUUCAGACAGAGAGAGACGAAGACCAAUCCGAAUAACAAUUGAUAGGCACACCCAAAGGAACGUACCCUGCUAUAUCCCCCACUAAUGCACGCGAACAAAUAGAAGAGGCAACACUACAAUCUGAAUUGUUGCCUCUGUAUUAGUGAGGCUCUGUAAUGAAAAUUGGGGAUUUAGGGCAUCUCCACUAGGCUCCCCAACAGGCCCCCCAAGAGCACUUUUUUAGCGCCGGCUGUAAAAAAUCUUCCCAGUCAGGCACCCAAGAGCUCAUUUUUAGCCGGAUUUGGCGAAUGUUACGGCCGGCGCGCCCACCCCACACCCAGCUCCCGGGGGAGCAGCUGGGGACGCCGGUGUUUGCCUUUUGCAUGCGCAGGCCCACCUGCCAGCGUCUCUCCCGUCCCUUUCCCUUCCUGGCCCACCCACGUGCUCCCCUCCACACACCCAUCCCCUUUCUCUCGGUUGCAACUCCUCUCUUCUCCUUCUCCUUCUCUCGCCUCGCCGCGCACAGGGACGGCAGGAUGAAGGAGCUCCGGGCCAGCUCUGCGCCUCCGCAUCUCAGCAUCCCCUGGCUCCGCUCGCCGGCAGCCAUUCCCGCAGCUCAGNNNNNNNNNNNNNNNNNNNNNNNNNNNNNNNNNNNNNNNNNNNNNNNNNNNNNNNNNNNNNNNNNNNNNNNNNNNNNNNNNNNNNNNNNNNNNNNNNNNNNNNNNNNNNNNNNNNNNNNNNNNNNNNNNNNNNNNNNNNNNNNNNNNNNNNNNNNNNNNNNNNNNNNNNNNNNNNNNNNNNNNNNNNNNNNNNNNNNNNNNNNNNNNNNNNNNNNNNNNNNNNNNNNNNNNNNNNNNNNNNNNNNNNNNNNNNNNNNNNNNNNNNNNNNNNNNNNNNNNNNNNNNNNNNNNNNNNNNNNNNNNNNNNNNNNNNNNNNNNNNNNNNNNNNNNNNNNNNNNNNNNNNNNNNNNNNNNNNNNNNNNNNNNNNNNNNNNNNNNNNNNNNNNNNNNNNNNNNNNNNNNNNNNNNNNNNNNNNNNNNNNNNNNNNNNNNNNNNNNNNNNNNNNNNNNNNNNNNNNNNNNNNNNNNNNNNNNNNNNNNNNNNNNNNNNNNNNNNNNNNNNNNNNNNNNNNNNNNNNNNNNNNNNNNNNNNNNNNNNNNNNNNNNNNNNNNNNNNNNNNNNNNNNNNNNNNNNNNNNNNNNNNNNNNNNNNNNNNNNNNNNNNNNNNNNNNNNNNCGAGCAGGCGCGGACGGGCGAGCGCGGCCGCGGGAGCGCGCGGCCUGGGAACGCGGGAGUGCGCGGCCGGCAGACUCGACGAGGCGGCGCGGGCAGACAAGGAUGGCGGCGAACUCCAGGAGGCUGCACUCGCCGGGCAGCGACGGGGACUGCGCAGCCUCCACGUCGAAGAACACCAUCUCCCUCUUCUUGGUGGUCGCCAUUGAUUCCGGCAAGCAACUCGGUGGUGGUUUCUUGACGAUGGAGCUCUGUUUGUUUCUUGCUUGAAGGAAUGAAGGAAUGGAGUCUGUCGAUGGAGCUAUGAGGGCGCAACGAGUGGAAAAAAUUCCACCCCCAGGCCGAAGUUUUCGCCGGCAGCCCCCCAGGAGGCGAAAAAAAUGCCUCCUAGGGAGGCCAACGGCUGGAGAUGCCCUUACUCAUCAGGUCACCUGCAUUUACCUUUUAGUGGUUAAACCACCAAACCCAAAGCAAUAUCUGCAAUUUAUUUAAUAAAUGUAUUAGAUUUUUUUCAGAAUGUGUUAGAGCCAUUUCUUUUGCCGAGCUACAUUCUUGUCGCUUAGGAUACUCAAGGAGCAUGGCUUGCGAAACAUGUCUUCACAAGUUCACGUGCUACCAUUUCAUAAACAGGUGACCACCACACUCCCUUCCGUGCAUAGGACAUACAGGUUCGAGAUGGCAGGCUACUGUAAGCAACCUUCGAGAUGGAAUGUUGGAUUUUACUCUAGCAAGGCAGGUCUUCUCCAAAAGAGAUUAUCAUCUGGCUAUGUAUUGCUUUGAGCUCCCCAUGCUGCUAACACUCCUCAGAUAUUGUGUUUGCUACCGUGAGACAAAGUUCAUCAGAACAUCUGAAUUGACUCCUUACACAGGGCUCUGAAUUGACACAAUUAGAAGGAUAAAACAAUCGCUAGAGCUCUUGUAGGCAGAGUAACCCACCAAUUUUUGACUUAACCUGAGGAUGGUGUCUAUUUUAAGUGUAAAGAAACACAGAGAGAUGAUCAGGUCUUAUAGUUGCAGAAAGUAGCAAAUGGCGGGAAUUUACGUUGGCAUAUACAUAUUGUAUCGUCCAGCGCCAGCGGCAAGCUCUCAAGCUCGAACAGGUCGGAGUUGGGCUCGUUGCUCUCCUUGACCUGUCCCUCUCCUUCGCCAUGCCAUGACACUCAGUAGCUCCUUCGCCCUCCACUCCGCCUCACGCCAAUUACUCGGUCUCACUCCCGCUAGCAUUGGUCAUCCUCGCCAUCAUCCUAGCUCGAUGGGCGUGCUCCUCCUUGUCCACCGCGACCCCCCGCCGCUGAUGAAAACCUCACGGCCCGCCUUUCAACUCCCGAGAGCCUCGGAGUCUCGCACUCCCGCCGGGAAGCGCGCCAUGACAUGAUCGACCUCGCUGACGCCGGUUCCGCCACUACUGUCGCCUGUGAGCGCCAGGGCCUGCAUUUGCCGCCGCGUCGGUCGAAACGAAAACGACCUUGCCGGCGGUCGGCGGCUUCCGGUUGCAAAGCAGAGCGUUCAGAAGGCACGCGAACGAUGCCGACUUCCUUCUGUUCUUCCUCCUGGUCUUCUUUUUCUCCUUGCUUUCCCUGGCAACGCUGGCCCCGAUAUCGGCGGCGGCCGCAAGAGAAGCGAUGGGCUGGUCUGUGGGUGGGGCAGGACGCGGUACGACCUUGGCGGCUUCAGCGGCUGGGCAGUGGUCACGUACGGCGAUGAGCCGGCGAAGGGACACCGGUGGCGAGCCGGCUGCGUCUCGGCAUAUAGCCACACGCCUCAGAUAGACCAACGCCAAACAGAGGAAGAGACGGACAGAACAAGAGUAUGGAGGAUAACAUCAAUUGCAUUUGGCCGCUACAGAGCACCUCACCGACACGAAACACGCCCACCCACCAAGCUCACGCAACACAGCCAAAGAACGCAGGCCCCACGUGAGAUCCAGUAAAAACGGCGUCGUGUCGUUCCUCUUGGUAGUCCAGCCGGGCAUGGUCGCCGCAGACGGGCUCGCACGGCUGCCGCGGACGGUUUCGAGGUGGUGACGCGCAGGCAGGUCAUCGUGGUUGAGUGGGCGCCGGAGGAGGGAUGCUCCGGCACACGGCCGUCGCCGGAUUCUGGACGCACGACGGAGAGCGUGUGCGAGGAGCAGCUCUCCACAAAGACGAGCAGGACGGCGGACUGCCGACGAUCUGGGCAGCCGCAAGGUUACUGGCUCGAGCAGAAUGUGCCGGGCCUGAUGGUGGAGGAUAGUGCGGACGCGUCGCUCGCGUGGCGAGGCCAUGUACUUUGACGCAUCGCAUGGGAACCCUGCAUGGACACAUUCUCGUGCGACGGCCAUGAUAUUGCCAAUGACGGGUGGCUGUCGUGACCGUCCGCUAUGGUUUCUUCGCCGUCGUAGAACUUCAAGGGCUGUCGUCUGUCGAUGUAGUCGCUGUUCAGUGGAUCACCGGAGUGGACGGAGAGAUCGCCUGCACUGCCGUCUUCCGUCGAUGUAGACAGCACGCCGGAACGAAGCGGCCGGCGAGCCGCGGAGCGGAAACGCCGCCCUGAAUGAACCCCAGGCAACUGACCACGCACAGCAGCGUCUGCCAUCACCGACGGAGAAUCCGUAAGAGGAAGACGCAUGCCGGCGCGCCCGAAUCCCAGGAGGACGACCCCGUCCAGACCGGGCAGAAGCAGGAGCAACCAUCGCCGGGUCAGCAGAUGGCACCACUAGUUGGAAAGGAAAGAGCAGAAAUGGGAGGAGCUGGAAUGGAAGACGAACGCACAGUGCAGCCGGUAUUUAUAGCCAGCAGCAGAGAGGCAGAGCACAAAUUGAAAGCAAAUACCGCACAUGCUGCAGAAACACCGAGAAGGCUGUAACAAAGCGGCAACCGACACUGUGGUAGAACCAGAAGGCGCGGGCGGCAACCGACCCCAACACAGCGUACGUGGCGGGAAGAAGGAAAGAGUUGGAAGGAAAAAAGCAAGCAUCCAUGCAGAAUCAGCCAAAAGAGAGACUGGAAGCCGUGGCCAACUCAAUCUCUCCAUGACCAGGACAUGCAACCAAUCAGAAACUGAGGAGAGAGGAGAACAUGCAACCAAUGGAGACCGGAGCCCUCAAUUUACUAUGUUUUCCAGUAGAAAUCGCUAUGCGCACCCGGACGUGUACCUGGCCACAUCCCCCACUAAAGCACGUGUUGCCCACCUAUUGGUCCGAUUUUGACUGAUAAGAAAAGUCAAAAAAACCUGGUAAAUCAAACCUGGCCAGAUUUAGUAUAUUUAGAAUUAUUUCUUAUUAUUUUAAAGAAGGGAAACGUUUGGAGCCGGCGGACCGACCGGUCGCUCGCGCGCCGCUCGAUCGCGAAGGGAUCUAGCGCUAGGAUGUCUCCCGAUCCACGUUUUUCGUUGUUUGUUUUUCCUUUCCUCGGCCCACCCACGUGCCCUAGGCCCAUCAUGACUGUUUAUUUUUCUCUCAUCCUAUCUGGUGCGUCGUACUCUGCCCUCUGUUAUCUUCUUCCCCGCGUGGUCGUCUUCAAGCUCCUUCUCCACAAACCGCUCAUUGAAAAGCUCCGACAUGGGGGGUGGAAAAAGGAGCUGCAACCAGAGCCCAGCGAAGAUGCAUCUGUGGGAGAAUCACCACCGGCGAGCUGCGACCAUGGCGGUCGCAUGCUGGAACCAGUGUCGCGGCAUGCUGGAACCAGCACCAUUUUUUGCUACAUGCAUUCAUGGCGGAGCUACAAUCUGCGACGGCGGAGACGAGUUUUUGCUGCAAUCGUCAUCAGUUUUUGCUACAACCGACGAGAAAUUUUGCUACAUCCAUUCAUGCCAGAGAUGCGACCGGCGAGAAAUUUGCUACAAUCAGCUGCAACCGGCGCGGUCACCACACUCGCCGGUUUCAGCUUUCCGAGAACAUGGAUGAAGCUUUUCAAUGUACAAACACUUUCAAACUGAAAAAGUUGCAACCGUUACCAAAAAAGCUCCAACCUUAGAUAAAAAAAGCUUCAACCAAAAUACGUACAAAGUUUUCAAUCGGGCAUUGCUCCACGGAAAAAGUUGCAAAUGUUCACAGAUAAGCUUCAUUUGUGGUUGAAAAAAGCUUCAACCCACGAGUAGUCCAAGCAACAUUCAGCGAGGAUGGAAGUCGUGGGUUUCAUGCUACAUGCUACAAGCGGUCCUGGAUUUUGCUACGACCGGUGUCGCAUCCAGCUACAUCUGCAGUCAUGGUUUGCUGCAUCGAACAGCGAUGCAUUUUUUUUGCCGGAAGCGAAGCUGGAUUUUUUGCUGGAACAGGGUGAGCGAGAGGUUGUAACCGCGAGGUAUGUGACCGACGAGCUGCGACUGGACGGGCAUGAGCAGUGGCAAGCACGCCGGCGAGCUGUGGCCGUCGCCACCGAAGCUACGAGUGUCACCGCUGAGAGCUGCAACCACUGAUGCAGCUGUUACAUGGGUUGAGGCGGCGACGAGGACGGACGGCAAGGGCAGGGACCGGCGACGAGGACGGCCGGCGAGGGCGGGGACCGGCAACGGGGACGGCCGGCGAGGGUGGCGACCGGCGAUGCGGACGGCCACUGGAGAGCGCGCGGGGCUGAUGAGAUGCGGAGGGUCCUUUUCUCGCGAGCCUGAGGGAAGAAGAUGACCUGGAUGUAUAAGGAUCUAGCGGCUUGGGAGGGGCCGAUCGGGUGGCUAGGGUAGGACCGGCCGAAACGUUCGGCCGGUGCGCCGGCGCCUAGCGGUGCCCUUUAAAGAAACCCAACUGCCCAAGUUCAUCUCCACGUAUAUGUUCUCCUUUGGUCUGCAGGUGUAUUCCCCUUCCGAGGAACAGAUAGAUGGUCACUGGCUCACUGCCCACAUCAAAAACUAAAUAUCCAGAGAUAAGCUUCCAAAUGUUCUUUGCAACCACACACGAGAAGAAUAAAUUAUGACAAUUUCGAAACUCACUACAGAAGACAAAAACAGAUCGUCAACAGUAUGAUAUUUAGCAAAAUUUUCUCUAGUUAAAAAAGUUCUUAUACUAAAUAAACAGCAAAAGGAAGACAUAUGCAUACGUGGAGGAAUAGCAAUAUUCCAAAUAGCAGGUGUGUGUGCACGGACAGUACUCCCGUAUGGUUAUUUUUGGUUUCUUUAGAACACGGUAUUGACAUUGGCACUCGUAUGUACAGUCACCCCAAAAGAAUACACACGCACAUACCACCCCUAUUUGCACCUUCGAGAGACUGAGCCGACAUAUCAUUUUCAGAUUGACGAAAUUACCAAAGACGCCUCGUAGUCGACGGGAACGUCUCCGCCCACAGAACGGGCAUUGCCGGAAAUCCUGAAAUAAAUCAAGAAAAGUGCGAGCACUAGGAUUUGAACCCUAGUAGGCAGGGGAUACCAUUGUCCUCCGUAUACUUCAUUUUUUAACAAAGUAAAACACAGAGGGGUGAUAUGUUUUAUGAUUUCUUAUAUGUAAUGCGUAUCACAUUCUAAGCAAAAAACACAAUGUGUCCUUUAUGCAAAAAAAAAUGCAUUUUAGAGCAUCUUCAACCGUUCGGCCCCACAGGACCCAUAAAAAUCGCCCCCUGGGGGCGAGCCGGCGAUUCUUUCGGCGCCGGGGGCUGUUUUGCGCCCAGUUGUCGCCCCCAGUCGCCGAUUUUGGUCCAUUUUUUAAUCCCCAUUUCGGCGGAAAAGGCCCAUAUAGGCGAGAAUAGGCACAUAUUCGGCGUGGUUCGCCGUGGCUCGGCGCUCAAUUAUCAACAUAAAUAAUUUUUUAUCACAUAUUUCAUCACAGAAAUUUCAAUUACUUCAACAAAAUAGUACAACAACAAAUAGUUCAAUACAAAUUAUAUAGUUCAACAAAUAAAAACUCAUACUUCAUCACACGUCGCGCCCGGUGUCGCCCUUGAGCCUUCAUAGGUGCUCUAUCAGAUCUUGCUGCAGUUGAUGAUGCACCUGUGGGUCUCGGAUCUCUUGACGCAUACUGAGAUAGGCAAUCCAGGUUGCCGGUAGCUGGUGAUCAACUUGGGCAAGAGGACCCUGCCGGUGGUAUGGUUCAGUGUCAAACACUGGCUCUUCCUGCUCGCUCUCAAUGAUCAUGUUGUGCAAGAUGACACAGCAGGUCAUGAUCUCCCACAUUUGAUCUUUCGACCAGGUCUGAGCGGGGUACCGAACAACAGCAAAUCGAGAUUGGAGCACACCAAAUGCCCGCUCGACAUACUUCCUGCAAGCCUCCUGAAUCUUCGCAAACCAGGCGUUCUUGCCUCCAGGCACAGGGUUUUUGAUGGUCUUGACAAAUGUCGACCAUCUCGGAUAGAUGCCAUCAGCUAGAUAGUACCCCUUGUUGUAGUGCCGCCCAUUGAUCUCGAAGUUCACCGGAGGAGAAUGACCUUCAACAAGCUUGGCAAGGACAGGAGAGCACUGCAGCACGUUGAUGUCAUUUUGAGUUCCUGGCAUACCAAAGAAGGAGUGCCAAAUCCAGAGGUCCUGUGUGGCCACCGCCUCAAGUACCACACUGCAACCGCCUUUGGCGCCUUUGUACAUCCCCUGCCAAGCAAAUGGGCAAUUCUUCCAUUUCCAAUGCAUGCAGUCGAUGCUUCCAAGCAUCCCAGGAAAUCCUCUUGCUGCAUUCUGUGCUAGGAUCCGAGCAGUGUCUUCCGCAUUGGGUGUUCUCAAGUAUUGCGGUCCAAACACUGCCACCACUGGCCGACAGAACUUGUAGAAACACUCUAUAUGCGCCCAGACCUGGUCGUAGCCAUGAGCCCAUAGUCGUCCUGUGAGUCACCGGGAGCUCCGUAUGCAAGCAUCCUCAUCGCUAUCGUGCAUUUUUGGAUGGAGGUGAAUCCAAGUUUGCCGGUGCAAUCCAUCUUGCAUUUGAAGUAGUUGUCGAACUCCCGGAUGGAAUUCACAAUCCUGAGGAAAAGCUUUCUGUUAAUGUUCUGUCGCCGUGAAGUGGAGCAUCGGCGAAGUAGUCGGAGUAGAGCAUGCAGUAGCCUUCGAGACAAUGCCGGUUCUUUGCUUUCACCCGCCCUGACGCCGAGCCACCUCGCCGCGGCUUUUCAUUGCUCGCCAGCAGCUGGGCGAGGGCAGCGAGCACCAUGAGAUGCUCUUCUUCCUGGACGUCGACCUCGGCUUCCUCCUCGAGCAGCGCGGCGAGCACUUCCUCGUCAUCCGAGUCCAUCGCUGAGGCAGGCAAAUCGCCGAACACCUUGCGCGCGGUGGGCGUGCACCCGCCGCUAAACUGCCCCUCUGCGGCCGGAAACGGCGGCCGAAAACGCCCAACUGGUGCCGGAGUGGCUGUCGCAGCGAACCUAUGCUAUUUUUCCGGCGGGGAAUGGCUAUCUACCGGUGAAGGGCGGCGAGGAGGCGUCGGGAUAUACCUAGUUGCGGCCGAGAGCGCGGAGGGUGGGAGGCGGUCGGGGAAGAAAAUCUUGACUUUUCACCUGACGGCGUAGGCCAGCCACGCUUUUCCCUUCCGCCGGAGCCCCCAAGCGCCCCCCAGCGCGCCGGGUUCGGCCUGCGGCCGCCGGGCGGAAAAAAGGGCCGAACCGACGCUUUUCGUCGUCCUGGGGGCGCGACUGGGCCGUUUUGUCGGGGGUGCGGCCGGAGAUGCUCUUAUCUUGCAUGUAAUUGUCACACUUACUAAAAUACACUAUGUCGUUUUAUCUGCGAAAAUGCAUUGUAUCUUGCAUGUAAUUGUCACAUUAAUUACUUAAUUAACCAUAUAUAAAUUUCACCAAACAAAUCUUGCAUUCUCCAUGUAAGUGAUAGCCAAACUGAUAGUGAUGCGCUGAUAUUUAGGCACACCGUUAAUAGAAAAAUAGCACACAAAAAUAUAACACCUCUCAUCUUUUUCACCCAGAAAAAGUGAUACUAUUACAUAUAACUUAACUCAUAAUUUACAUAUUGCUACCUUUGUCUCAGUUUAUUAGUCACCAUGGUAUUUUAGGUGAAAGUUUGACCACAUUUUUGACUAGCAAAAUGUUAAUACAUGUCGUCAAAAAUUAUAUUAUGGACUCGUAUUUGAAUAUAGUUUUAGAUGAUAUUAUUUUUGCUACAUAUAACUUAUUUUUUAUUAGUUAAAUCAUGGUUAGAAUAUGACCCUAGUAAACGACGACAGAGGUAAUACAAAAGUGCUUUUCGAUGGCCACCGGGGAAAUAUAGUUCUCACUCCUAUCCAUAUUAAUUAUCGCAACUUUUCUACAACUUCAAUAAAAAGUUAUAUUGAAGUUGCAACAACUAAUAUGGAUAGGAGGGGGUAUUAAAAAAGUACAUAUCACAAAAGUGCUUCAGAACUCCAUCCCGAGGUCGUCGUUGUGCCUCUCUGCGGUGUCCAUAUCGGCGGUUCCAGAACCACACAGCCGAUUGUUGUAGCGCCGUUGUUGUGCACCAUCCUUGGGUAGAUGCCAGAAAGAGUCAAGCACCCUCUUCUCGUCUUCUUCAUCGUCGAUCCCACCCCACCUGCCUCCCCUCCUCCUCCUCCUCCUCCUCCUAGCUCACGUGCACUAGAUGUGUGGGUGGGGAGCACUACAAGAGUGGAAGGUAGGCGUUACUCCUCCGAGCCAGAUCCGUCGAGCUGGCUGGAUGCGUGGUGCUCGGUGGGGACAGACAGAAAGGGGAAGGCCACUGGCUAGAUGCAGGCGAAUGGAAGGCCGCUAGCUCAAGGAGGCAUGGAGGGAAGGUGGUACCGGGAGGGUUGGGGAUGGGGCGACGGUGCAAGGAUGGAUUGGUAGUGGGUGGAUAAGGUGGCUUGAGCUUUUCUAUUAGGAACCCUGCACGCACUAUGGGCGUGUUUGGUUACAUUCUCAGUGGAGCCUACCCUAGUGGAGCCUGUUUAACUGUAUAUAGGCUUUGGGUCAUGUUCUGCAUGUUGUUUAGUAGGUUGCACCAAGCCCAACUUGCAUCCUUCCCGUAGUGUAAAUUGCACUAGACCCAGUCUGCAUCUAGAAGAACGGUCAAUCUGAGGGCGUUCCUUGCGAGUCAGGCUGAGAGCGCUUUAAGUUUCGUGUAAGUCAGUUUCUACGUGGGAGCUAGGCAACCAAACAACUCACUACUUUGCCCGCCAGAGUCUGAUUGGGCUUGAUACAGCCUACCAAACGUGCCCUAUGUUGCAAGAUCAACCAAUGGCCAACACUUGUUCUCGUAGGCCCCGUCACUAAAUAAAAGAAAACAUUUUUUCCUCUAAAAAAUAAAAAACUUUUUGUAUUUUCUUUUUUUUUACUGAAAAAUAUUUCUCAUAUCUUAUCCCCACCCGCAAACUCUUCUACCGGCCAUUAUUCUACCAAGUUUGAGCUUCCGCCAGAGAGGAAUCCACCAAGGUGAGGUCUGCAACCCAUGGUCGUGGACGUGAUCGGUGGCAAGAAGGGAGCUUUUGUGGCUAGUGCCCCCCGCCGAAGGUGAACGCAAUCCCAGGCAAAGGCAGUGGCAGUGGCUCACAAGCCGCAAUUUCCCAACUAAGCCGACCAGCUCCCUGGAAGGUUGAACUGUAGGGCAUGCAUGCGAGCUCAACUUUUUUUCAAAACAGAGGCAAAAGAUUUUCCUCAUCUAUUAAUUAAGGAGAAGAGAGUUGCCCGGUGAAUUAACGGGAAACCAGGCUAAAACUAUCACAAUCGCUGAGCGACACACAUAAGAUACCCCACACACGCCACUCAAGAGGGCCUCGUCGAGACAGCACGGAGGCAUCAUCGUCAUUACUCCUCCCCUAGAAGGCAUCUUAGCCAUCCCUAAACUCUAAGCAAACGACUCCGACUUCGCCGUAGGCGAUCACCGAUUCAAUCCACUAUGAAAAGGCCUUGUGGAGUUGCAUGAAGAUCCAUGCCAGAACUCAGCCACCUGCGACCAGACAACGCAGCUCCGACUUUGAUAGAGAACUACGAAGGACAAAACCAGGCACGGCUGGGGCCACGAAAGAUCUAGGUGGUCAACUUGAUGAAGCACUGCUUGGCCAAGAUGACAUACACGAGCAGGAUGAACAAAUGCUUGCCCAAGACCAUGAGCCCUGAUCCAAGGCUGAGGCUAGUGCCUGGGAACAUCUUGCCCGGGAGAGGAGCGACAGGGGCAAGUACCAGGGGAGUAGGUGGCCGCAUCGGCAUCAGCACCCGCGGCAUUCUGCAACGUCGCACAGCUUGAUGAGAGGUGCCUUGGGCGUACUCCUCCUCAUCUACACAACACGGUCGUAGCGUAAUGCUUGGAAUGUGUUGUGCAGGAGUGGCCUUGAGGCAGGCUAUGUUGGCUGAGGAAUCUACUAGGGGUUCCUUCUACGCCUAAGCAUGGCGGAGUAGGAGCGCUCAUGGCCUUGAUCGUCAGUGUCACUGCCGAAGCCCUCGUCACCAAGCUCCUCAUGAUGGUACCAUAUAUCCCCUCUCAUGAGUUCGUUCUGGGACGAAUGAUUUGCACUUGUUCACUAUGCAACACGAACAAUCAAUUUGGACCUAGCAAACCAUAGAAACACUGAAAAAUGGUCUUGAUUCUUGACGCUAACAAUAUAUAUGAAUGUAUAAAAUGGGUCUAUCUAUGAUUCUAUACAGUAACAAAUAUGUGGUAGAUUUCUGAAAUUGUUAUCACUUGUCCAUGGCAAAAUUAAAGAAAAUGGUCUAAAACAUGGCAAAUGUUGUAAAGUGACAUGGCAAAUCAUAUUUUUCAUAUAUGUUCGGUGUGGCGAUUCCUGGAAUGGACUGUGAUGUCGAAUCAUUUCCAGGAGUGUGAUGUCGAAUCAUUAGACCCAAGAAAAUUGUUGAUGUUCACCUACAAUGUUUCGUACAAGUUUUGCCAUGUAUAUCUAGAAACACGACAUUUUUUUUCUACAAAUGUUUUUUAGUAUUGGUACAUGGCAAAUUUAAGUUAAACUGGUUCUCAAAUUCAUGGCAUUCUUGUAUAUAGUGGCAUGGAAAUUUUUAAAAUAUGACUUGUGAAAAUUUAGAGAGUUCUGUUUUUCUCCAAAAAUGGCAACUUUUUAUAUGUGUUUGCCAUGUUUAUAGAAUUUUCUCCAAAAUUGUUGCUAUGUUUUGAAAUUUUUGUUAUAAACCAUGUCAAAAAUAACAUGAGAUGUUCUAAAAAACAUGGCAAAGAUCUAAUUGUAUUAGAUGUAAGUUCAUUAGAUGGCGAAUUUACUUGUUUUUAGCUAUCAACUAGCCAGGGUAAACUUUUUGAUGUUUUACCAUGGACACUUUCAAGUUUUAUAUGACAAUUUUUUAGUAACUGUUCUCAUGGCAAUUUAAUGUAACGACCUUGGCAUUUUCUACCUGUGGCUACCAUGGCAAGUUUACAUAUUUUAUAAUUUCCAAAAAUCAUGCCAAAUUUAUAAAUUUCUGUAAUGUUCAAGUGGCAAAUUUUAGAAAAAAUCUUUAUGUUCCAAUGGAAAUUUUAUGAUUUUUGUUUUGUUUUCAUAGCUACCAACUUUUUUCUUAGCAUGACAAGUUUUAGAAACUUUUUUUAUAUUCACACGGCAAAUUGAUAAAAUUGUUAUUGGGAUUUCUACAUAUAGCAUUCAAUUUUGUUUUGAAGGAGCAUGGCAAUUUUUUAUCUAUAUCUUGGUAAAUUUAUUUCUUAUGGUAAUUUAUUAGAAAAAAAAACUAUAAUGGCCACACGACCUUUUUAUGAACGAUGUUUUCCUAAUUCAUGGUAAUUCUUGAAACAACUUUGUCCUUAUCUCACAGGAGUUUCUUAAGACACUUUUGUUUCCAAAGUCACGGCAAUUCUCGGAACAAAUAGUGUACCACCAUGGCAUUUUUUGCAUAUACCAGGGUAAAUUCUUUUUUAAUGUUUUGCUUUUACCAUGACUUUUUUAUAUUGAAGAUACCUUGGACAUUAUUGAACAUGUGGUAAAACUAUCUGUAGCAUACCAAAUUCCUAAAUUUGCAAUGGUUUUUAGAUAAUUAUUUUCUAGAGCAUCAUGGCAAGUAGUAAAUAAUUACAUUUUGCCCUAAAAAGUAUUUUCCUAGGGGAAUAUUUUAUGUUAUUUUUUACAAAACUUGUUACAUGGAAAAUUUAAACAUUUUUUUGUAAUGUUCACAUCUCAAAUUGAUUUCUACCGAUGACAAAUUUAGAAAAAGAAAUUCUCUUGGUCACAUGGAAAAUUCACAAUAAUUUGGUCGUUCAAAUAUGGUAAAUUUUAGGUCUUUUUGUAAUGCUCACAUGACAAGCUUUAGGAUGAUUUAGUACUUAUCCAUUGUAAUUUUACAAUUUUUAUCAUGUUACUUUUAGUAGGUUCCACGGCACUUAUAUAAAUUAUACCAUGUCAAUUUUGUUAGUUAGACCAUGAUAUUUUUUUAUUACUAGGAAACAUGCCCGUGCGUUGCAACGAGAGAAAACUGCCCUCACUCGCCCUUACCUACUGAGCAUGGCUAAAGACCUCACCCUCAUGCCCAUAACAAAAUAAACAUGACUAAUACCUCAUUCUCAGGUCCACGUCCUCCAUUUCAAUAUAACACCAAACACAUGUUUCCGCUUGUUUUCUUUGUUGUACUCAUCGCCAAUGGUUGUAGUACCGCUUGUCACUAACCAAGAUUGGCAAGGUCCAAUAGCUGGAUUGUUGAGCCGCAUCCGAUGAAGAUCAAGAGCACCGAACACAAUUUUUUUUAUCAUCUAGCUAAUAUAAUAGGGAAAAGCACUGCACAUAAUAUAUGUCCGUGUCAUCAUCUAAAUUGAGUAGUUUGUGUGAGGUAGACCAUGAAAUCCUAGUUGGACUCCUCAUGCAUUUUGACAGGAGUCACUGGGCCGAGUGAAACUGGUUGUACGCGAAGACGCGACAGAGAAAAAUAUUCCUUCCAUAUCCCUAGUUUAACAAAAUGAAGUAAAACAAAGUAUCAUAUGGGCAUAUUUCAAAAAUCUGCCAAGUUUUAUUAAUAUAGGUAUAGAUUUAAAAAAAUAGCUACAGUACCUCCCAGUUUUAGAAAAAAACAUGUUUACAAAAAAGUUUGCCUUUUCAAAUUUGAAGUUCAAAAAAUAUUUGUGUUUUUAAAAUGUUUGCAAAUUCGAGAAAUAAUCACAACAGUACCUCCUAUUUUUUUAAAAAAAAUUGUGUUUUAAAAAAUACUCAGGUUUCAAAAAAAAUAAAAAGACAAAUAUUGUUCUUUAAAAAAUCUUCUGCUGUAAUUUUUUAUUAACAAUUUAGCAAAAUGUUCGCGUUCUAAAAUAUUUUUACUUUAAGAAAAAAAUCCUCAGAGUAUCUGGGGCGACUGUAUACUUAAUUUAAAACUUCGUAGUGCUAUUUGAACACCUAGUGUUCUUUAGUCUAGUGGUUAGUAUUUGAGUGCUCUAGCAUGAGCGGUUCGGGGGAGCUCCUAAGCCGCGCCUUUAGCGCCCUUAACGCGUACUGGCGCCCACGCGCUGCCUACCUGAGCCUGGCCCAACAAGGCCGACGUGCCUGGCUAACCGCUCUCAGGGUUUAAACGCUGCCCAGUGUAAAUUAACGAAAAAGCAGUAAAAAGGUGUGCCUCUCAGGAUUCGAACUAGAGACCAAGUCUUCCUAUACAAGUGAGCCUAACCACAAGGACAACUUAACUUUAGUGAACUAUUGAAGCGCCAACAGUAUAAGAACGAGCGUCCGGUUCAUCAAAUUUGAAAAAAGUUCAUAGAAUUUGAAAAAAGUUUGUCGAAAUCUAGAAAAAUUCAUCAAAAUCUAGAAAAGUUUCAUCAAAUUUGAAAAAAGUUCGUGGAAUUUAGAAAAAUGUAUUUUUUUUUGUUCGUGAUUUCAAAAUGUGUUCAUAGUUUUAAGUUUACUCACUUUUUCAAAUUUUGUUCACAAUUUUAAAUUGUUCAGUGUACAUCAAAAAAUCUUCAAUGGGUAUUUAAAUGGUUUUUCAGCGCAUAUCACAAAAUUGUUCAAUGUGUAGUUAAAAAUUGUUCAGUACAAAAAUGUUCAAUGUAUAAAAUUUGUUCAUCUUAUAUAAAAAAAAUGUAUAAAUAUGUUUUAAAUUAUUUCAAUGUAUACCACAAAAAUGUUCGCUGUGUAGUUAAAAAUUGUUCAUCGUACACCAAAAGAAUGAUUUGUGUAUAUUUGAAAAUUGCUCGUCCUAUAUAAUUUUUUGUUCAUUUUCUCAAUAAUUACUCACGUUUUAAGAAAUUAUGGAAUUUGAAAAUUUUAAAAAGUUCACCAAUCAUCAAAAAAGUUCAUCAAGAUUAAAAAAAAGUUCAUCGAUUUGAAAAAGAGUUCACGGGUUUUCAAAAAAGGGUUCACGAAUUCGAAAAGUUCAAUUUUUUUGAAAAAAAUGUUCAUAAAGUUGGAAAAGGUUCAUCGAUUUUGAAAAAAAGUUCAUCGAUUUGAAAAAUAUUUCACGGAUUUACAAAAAGGGUUCAUGAAUUCAAAAAAAGUUCACCAAUCUUGAAAAAAGUUCAUCAAAAAAUGGAAAAAGGUUCAUAGAUUUUGGAAAAAAGUUUAUCAAUUUGAAAAAUGUUCAUUUAUUUUUGAAAAAUUCACAUAAAAUCAAAAAGUUCUUCAAAUUUGACAAAAAACCUCACAAAAGUUUUAAAAGAUCGUCGCUUUUUGAAAAAAAUGCCCAUGCAUUCGAAAAAGAAAAAACAAUUGUAAAGAAACUAAAAAAACAAACAAUGAAAUAAAAAACCAUCACAAAAAGCUGUCCAGAAAAAACAAAAACGAAAAAAGCGAGCUGGUAGCUUCCAAAGACCGAGCUUCCACGAACUGAGGACAACAUAAGAAGAAAAACGAAGAUAUUAGACGCAAGCGUGAAGGAGUGCUGGUGGUUAGUGCCUUUGCUGACGAAACGGGUGGUCUUGUGUUCGAAUCUUGUUGCCCGCACCAUUUUUUGGAAUUUAACAGAAGAAGAAAAAAAAACGUUAAAUGGGCUGGCCCAUGUAGCAUCGAUGGAAGGAGGCGGGGUGUGCGCCCGUUGCAACGGGCGCCGUAUAGGAAAUGCCGCGGUUCGGUUCGAUUCCUCGCGCAGUAGACUUUUUCUUGGAAAUUCUUUUGACAGAUGGGCCGGCCCAUUGUGGCUCUGUGCGUCCAGUGUUUUUUCUUUUGACAGAAUCAGGAGCACGAGGAAACGCCUGGGACGUACGAAAACUAUGUGGGUCCCACCGUGAACGAAAAAAAUUGGAGAAACAAUCCUCCCUUUAAUAUUAGGUAUGUAAAGAUAAAAAUAGGUAGCAUGACACAUUUAUUACUUAGACCGUGGCAAUUUUGUUAAUUAUAAUGUGGGAGACUUAUUUUUCUGUAGCAUGGCAAAAAAAAAAUUUUGUCUCAUGUCACUUAUGGCAAAUUCAUAAAAAAUGUCUUUCCAGACAUGGAAAUUUUAGUUAUUUUUUAAAAUUAGAUGCCAAAUAAUGGACCAUGACAAUUUGAACACUUUAUUUGCAAUGGUAAAUUUGCCGUGUGUUAUUUACAUACAUCUCAAAUUUGCCAUGUUUCUAGAGUACAAUCUUUCUUUAAAUUUCGCCACACAAUUAAUUUUUUACUUGUUAAUAAACCUUCACCUUUUGUUUUAAAAAUAGCCAUUCAAUUUUUCUCAUGUUUGCCAUGCUAUUAGUACAAAUCUUUUUCUAAUUUUGCCACGUUUCCUAGAGAAGAAAAACUCUCUUUUCUAGUACAUAUGAUUUUCAAUUCCAAAUAGGCAGCAUUUUUAUGCUCUAUAACAUGGAUAAUUUUUUUUUGUAUAAGAUGGCAAUUUUUUAUAUUGUUUUAUUUUUUUCCUACAUCAUGAAAAAACUUUUUUUAACUUUUUCUAUGUUUUAUAUACAAAGGAAAUGACGAUUGAGCUGCAUCCCGAAACAAAUCAAAUGAUGUACCUGGAGGCCUCGAAAAGCCCUAUCUAGCAAAAAAUGUGUGUUGUGGUUUUUUCUACUGCAAACCAAAACGUUCGUUGGGGGCUGCUUCUCCCAGCUAACGAAUCAUUCGCUCGCCCUUGCACACCCAGGUAACGUCCGCCAGCUAUCGAGGUCCUAACAUUACACCUAAGAAUCCCAAUCACUUAGGUGCAAAUAGACUGAGGUUGUAAAUUUCCCACGCGGUUUGUCAACCGCCUCCAAUAAUACGAGUAUCACCUCGAAUUGUAUAGAGUUAGAUGGCCAAAGCGCCUACAGUUUUUGUACCAAAAACGCCAUUGAAACAUUUAUUUGCGCUAGUGAGAUAUUUGAAACAGCUUGCUCCCAUAUACCUAGCUUCGCCGAUGCACAGAAGCGCAACCACACAAAUCUACAAACUUGUAGAAAUGACUAGUUGAGAAACAAUAUGUUUAUGGUAUUAAAAUUACUAGUUAAAAAAUAAAAUGUUUUGUCUUGAAACUUGGAGAUUCCUAUAAAUAAAGGCAAUACAUAUGAGCUAUCGACCAAGAACAAAUUCAACUUGACUCUACAAACUGUGUGCUAUGCUAUGAUUGUUCUAAUGAGGAUAGAUCCCAUCUUUUCUUUGGCUGUUCGUUGAGCCAAGGUUUUUGGUGGAGUCUAGGUUUUGAAUGGAACAUUGACUGCAAUAUUCAUGAGAUAUCACUGAUACUCAGAGGAGAUACCAGCUUGACUUCAUGGAAAUUAUGAUUAUUGGCUGCUGGUCUGCUGGAGCAUAUGGACAGAAAGGAAUGGAGUUAUUUUUUAGCACAACCAGUGCACCAUACAAUCCUGCUUGUCUAUCUUCAGAGACAAUUUCUUUUCUAUGCUUAGAGGUAAACCUAGUCUCAAAAGGGGCACGAUGUCCUGGUUAGAUAAUGUGUGAACUUUAGGCAUUCAGCUCCCGAUGCAGUAAUAACUUAACUGUAGUGGAGCCGAACCCAAACUUUAGAUAUUAGCUCUCCUCCCCCCCUCCAUGUAAUCUUCUUUGUAAAUAUCCUUUCUUAAUAUGAAAAUGACACGGUAGGGGCUGGAAAAUGCCAACUGUGACCGAUCUCAUGGGAGCUCAGUAUUUUUAAAAGUUCAAAAGGCAUAUUUCAAAUUUGCAUAAAAAUUCAAAAAAAUCCAUGGAAACUUGUACAUGUUCCGCACGAACGUGUGAAAAACCGUUUGAAAACAUUGUGAUUUGUGGGCUGGUAAAAAGACAAAAUUCUGGCCCAAGAAAAAAGUCGGUGCAUUUUAGAAAUACGUGCUUGGCAUUAUUUUGUACGCCACGCGUGAAAGUGUACUAUUAUGAAUUUUUGCACACACAUAAUACACGUGCAUGAAUGUUCACAAAAUAUUUCGAGUUCCUUUCACGCUGUAGAAAAUUGGUUUUUGAAAAUGAGCUCCCUGGAGCUUGGUCUCCAAAAGCUCGCACUCCUCUCCCUAGUGCUUUUGGUAAAAAAAAAGUCUUGAAACUUGGGAGUCCCAACUAAACUUAGCACCAUAAUGGGGGGCAAAUAAAAUAAUUAUUUUCCUAUUUUGAGACAGAACUUUGGAUCGAUCCAAUGUAGUCCUAAAAUUUUACUCCAAUUUAGGACUUGCUGAAUACGUAUUACUAUAUUUUGGAGAAUAGUAUUAAUUAAUUAGGCAAUUGAGCCGUAUAUUAAGUACCAAAUAAUGUCAUAGAAAAUCUUAUGAAUAACUGUCGAUAUGACUAAUUAGGCCACCCCUAUAUUAAGUACCCAAAUAACUCUCGAUAUGACUAAUUAAGUAGGCAAUUAACCCCUAUAUUAAAUCCUUAAUAACGUUCUGCCUUCUAAAUACGGACGCGGCAGGGUGGCCCUCCGGCCCUAUAUAAACCCCGGACGCCGGACGGAGGGAGUAAGCAAGUUGCGCAGUAGCAAACUAGCCAAGCUAGCAGCAAAAUGGCCGCCGUCCACAAGAGCAUUGCACCGGCGGUACUCCUCCUUCUCCUGCCGCUGAUGCUGUCUUUCACGGCGUCGGCACGGCACUUGACUCCCACCGCGGAUUACUCGGUGCUGAGGAAGGUGCCUCGUGGACCAGACCCCAUAAUGUCCGACCCACCGCCUCGGCCGCCAGCCAAGAGCACACAUUUUCCGGUGCUGAGGAAGGUGCCUCGUGGGCCAGACCCCAUAACAUCUGACACGCCCCCACCGCCGGCCACGAGCGUGCACUUCUCCGUGCUGAGGAAGGUGCCUCGUGGGCCGGACCCUAUAACAUCGGACCCACCGCCGCCGCCAGCCACCAGCCCACACUUCUCGGUGCUUCGGAAGGUGCCUUUCAGACCAGAUCCCAUAGUAUCUUAUGCUCCACCGCCACCGGCGACAAGCGCUCACUUCUCGGUUCUCCGGAAGGUCCCCCGUGGGCCGGACCCCAUCACGUCCGACUCACCGCCGCCACCUCCGAGGGACCUCUCGGUGCUCAGGAAGGUUCCUACCGGACCAAACCCAGAGACGUCCGACUCACCGCCACCACCUCCGAGGGACUUCUCGGUGCUCGGGAAGGUUCCUACCGGACCAAACCCAGAGACGUCCGACUCACCGCCACCACCUCCGAGGGAUUUCUCGGUGCUCAGGAAGGUUCCUACCGGACCAAACCCGGCGACGUCCGACUCACCGCCACCACCUCCGAGGGACUUCUCGGUGCUCAGGAAGGUUCCUACCGGACCAAACCCGGUGACGUCCGACUUACCGUCGCCACCACGGCUGCCAGCUGCAGCUUCUCCGGCGUGAUGCAAUUACCGGCGCCAUGCAUGUUACAUGUGAUGUAGCUACCUUGUAGUGUUA
rnacentral:lncRNA from 1 species